rnacentral:lncRNA from 1 species
CUAUUCCUGCGUUAGGUCACCCCUAGCACAACGUAUUGCUGCGUCUUGCUUUGUGUUACAUUUGAUUGCUCUGUUAUUUAUAGUGUUCCCCCUCCGUUACUUCUUUUCGGUUGGCUCCGAGACCGUUGCCGAUACCCCUGUGAUCGACUACAUCGACGACGACCCCUUCUUCUUGCUAGAGCAACCAGGCAAGCCCCCCCCCCUUGAUCACCAGAUAUCGCAUAUUCUCUUCUACACUGCUUGAAUUAGAGUAGUAUAGCAUGUUACUGCUUUCUGUUUAUCCUAUCCUGAUGCAUAGCCUGCCCUUGUUACUACUGUUGUUACCUUUACCUGCUAUCCUACAUGCUUAGUUUAUGAUGCUAGUAUUCCAUCUAUGGCCCUACAUUCUUGUCCGUCUGCUGUGCUAUACUAUCGGGCCGUGAUCACUCGGGUGGUGAUCACGGGUAUAUACUAUAUACUUAUACAUGACACAUGUGGUGACUAAAGUCGGGUCCGCUCGUUGAGUACCCGCAAGUGAUUCUGAUGAGGGGGCUGAAAGGACAGGUGGCUCCAUCCCGGUAGAGGUGGGCCUGGGUUCCCGACGGCCCUCGACGGUUACUUUGAGGCGGAGCGACAGGGCAGGUUGAGACCACCUAGGAGAGAGGUGGGCCUGGCCCUGGUCGGCAUUCGCAAAUACUUAACACGUUUAAUGAGAUCUUGAUAUUUGACCUGAGUCUGGCUACUGGCCUAUACGCACUAACCAUCUACGCGGGGACAGUUAUGGGCACUCGACGUCGUGGUAUCAGCCGAAGCCUUCGUGGCGUCAGCGACUGAGCGGCGCGAGCCGGGUUGGACCGCGUAACGUGACUUCCUUUGUAAUGGAGGUUGCUAGGUCUGCUCUCCGGCCGCGUACGCAAUGUGCAGGUGUGCUAUGGGCAAUGGGCCCAGAUCCCUGUGCGCUUAGGUUUAGACCGGCGUGCUGGCCUCUCUGUUGUGCCUAGGUGGGGCUGCGACGUGUUGAUCUUCCGAGGCCGGGCAUGACCCAGGAAAGUGUGUCCGGCCAAAUGGGAUCGAGCGUGUUGGGUUAUGUGGUGCACCCCUGCAGGGAAGUUAAUCUAUUCGAAUAGCCGUGAUCUUCGGUAACAUGACGACUUGGAGUUGUACCUUGACCUUAUGACAACUAGAACUGGAUACUUAAUAAAACACACCCUUCCAAGUGCCAGAUACAACCGAUGAUCGCUCUCUCACAGGGCGACGAGGGGAGGAUCAUCGGUUAGGAUUAUGCUAUACGAUGCUACUUGGAGGUCUUUAGUCUACUCUCUUCUACAUGCUGCAAGACGAGGCUGCCAGAAGCGUAGUCUUCGAAAGGACUAGCUAUCCCCCUUAUCCCGGCUUUCUGCAGUUCAGUCCACAUAUAAUAGCCUUAUUCCAGUUGAUACCUGAUAUGACCAACACCAAAUUUAUUUGUAUCAACGACCACCACGAUGUAGAAGACGUUGGUCUAUGUCAAGUUAUGGCAGCUUCACUUGAUAACAGGAUGCAUCCUAAUCAGGAGAAUAUUAAGGUUCAACCAGAGUCAACGGUUGGUGUUGUGCCAAAAUAUGGGAUGCACGCUAUGGAAGGGAAGAACUCCUUCACAUGCACGUUUGAAGGUUUGCAACAACUUGAUUGUUUGUUUAUGUUGUCACGUGCAGAGCAAGACCCAGCUGUAUGUGUACGAGAGAUAUAUUUUAUUGAGACUAAGCAAAGAAUCCUAAUCAGCUACUACUUCUCCCGAUCAAGACCGCCAGAGCAAGCGUACGCCAGCAUGUUUGAUCGGUGGAAAUUGCUUUCCUUGAGAGACAUUGGAUGGGGGCCACCCAAUAAUUUGUAUUUAAUAAUUUUAGUAUUUAAUGUGUAAUGAAUACCUGCUAAAAUAAAGCACGUAAUCAGAUUUGGUUUUAGUUGUUGGGUCGAUAGUUAGAGACAGGGAGAAUAUUUUGUACGGUCAACUUAUUAGGCAAGUUAGAGCUGGAUAGCUAUUCUACUAUAUAUAGUCUUGAUACGGUCAUUGUAAGAGGAGGUUAUAUUUUUAUGAAAUAGACACGAUGUGUUUUUCAGGGUAGACACCCGUAUCAAGUUUUGGAGGGACCUUUAGAAAACCUCUGUGUUGCGAUUUCUCUUCGUGGAAAUUGUUUUGCGCGUGAGUACCUUCGUCAAGAUUGGUUUUCUCGUGCUGGGCCGCAAGGUUCAAACCCUCUACUUCGUGUACAUCGCGUGCGCGGGCAAGAGGUUGCUACUGCUGGUGGUGGAGUGUCGUGAAAGGUCGGGCCGCAACAACGGAUCGGAUCUCGCCAAUGAGGUUCGGUCUUAUAUCAGGUGGUAUUCAGAGCAUCAGGUUGUUCACGGCACUAUGGAGAAGAUGGCGAGCGCGUCGUUAUUCAGUAAGUUAAGCUAUGAAUUUCAGUUGGAGGAGGAAGGCCGUUGGACUGGUCUUUUUCACACCCGUGUGGUGGUGAGAGAGAGAUCAUGUGCCAUGACCAUUGAUCACAAGAAUUUGAUCAACGCCGCAAGCAUCGAGAUGGUGGAGAAGUUGGAUCUACCGAUUGCACCAAGAGCACAACCGUACUUGUUUCGUUGGGGUCAUGAAGAGCUCACUGUGACGCACCAAACCAAGGUGCCGUUUUUGUUGGGAAAUUAUUUUUGCGAGGUUUUAUGCGACGUGAUUCCGACAACUAUGAUUUCAUGUCACUUGUUAUUGGGCGAGCCAUGGUAUAAAGAGCAUGAUGUUACGUAUGAUUGCAAAACACAUAGAUAUACUAUCAAGAAGGGUAAGAAGUGUAGCCUCGUGCCAAUGGGUGAGAAGCGUUUUAUUUCUUGGAGGAAAGAACAUCUUGAGAAGAUAAAAGAGCAGGAAGAAGAAGAGAAGAAGGUCGAAGUUGCUGAAAUUUUUGCGGUUGUUAUUCAAUCAAGUGAGGAAGAGGUCAACUCAAAACCGAAGACGGUUUCGAUGCAAGGAGGAGAGGAUGAUAUGACCAACACCAAAUUUAUUUGUAUCAACGACCACCACGAUGUAGAAGACGUUGGUCUAUGUCAAGUUAUGGCAGCUUCACUUGAUAACAGGAUGCAUCCUAAUCAGGAGAAUAUUAAGGUUCAACCAGAGUCAACGGUUGGUGUUGUGCCAAAAUAUGGGAUGCACGCUAUGGAAGGGAAGAACUCCUUCACAUGCACGUUUGAAGGUUUGCAACAACUUGAUUGUUUGUUUAUGUUGUCACGUGCAGAGCAAGACCCAGCUGUAUGUGUACGAGAGAUAUAUUUUAUUGAGACUAAGCAAAGAAUCCUAAUCAGCUACUACUUCUCCCGAUCAAGACCGCCAGAGCAAGCGUACGCCAGCAUGUUUGAUCGGUGGAAAUUGCUUUCCUUGAGAGACAUUGGAUGGGGGCCACCCAAUAAUUUGUAUUUAAUAAUUUUAGUAUUUAAUGUGUAAUGAAUACCUGCUAAAAUAAAGCACGUAAUCAGAUUUGGUUUUAGUUGUUGGGUCGAUAGUUAGAGACAGGGAGAAUAUUUUGUACGGUCAACUUAUUAGGCAAGUUAGAGCUGGAUAGCUAUUCUACUAUAUAUAGUCUUGAUACGGUCAUUGUAAGAGGAGGUUAUAUUUUUAUGAAAUAGACACGAUGUGUUUUUCAGGGUAGACACCCGUAUCAAGUUUUGGAGGGACCUUUAGAAAACCUCUGUGUUGCGAUUUCUCUUCGUGGAAAUUGUUUUGCGCGUGAGUACCUUCGUCAAGAUUGGUUUUCUCGUGCUGGGCCGCAAGGUUCAAACCCUCUACUUCGUGUACAUCGCGUGCGCGGGCAAGAGGUUGCUACUGCUGGUGGUGGAGUGUCGUGAAAGGUCGGGCCGCAACAACGGAUCGGAUCUCGCCAACGAGGUUCGGUCUUAUAUCAAUACCUAUGCAUACAUAUGUAGUGUAGCUCCUUGCUUGCGAGUACUUUGGAUGAGUACUCACGGUUGCUUUCUCCCUCUUUUCCCCCUAUCCCUUCUACCUGGUUGUCACAACCAAAUGUUGGAGCCCAGGAGCCAGACGCCACCUUCAACAACGACUCCUACUACACCAGAGGUGCCUACUACUACGUGCUGCCCGCUGAUGACGACCAGGAGUAGUUAGGAGGAUCCCAGGCAGGAGGCUUGCGCCUCUUUCGAUUUGUAUCCCAGUUUGUGCUAGCCAUCUUAUGGCAACUUGUUUAACUUAUGUCUGUACUAAGAUAUUGUUGCUUCCGCUGACUCAUCUUUGAUCGAGUUCUUGUAUUCGAGCCUUCGAGGCCCCUGGCUUGUAAUAUAAAGCUUGUAUUAUUUUAAUUUGUGUCUAGAGUUGUGUUGUGAUAUCUUCCAGUGAGUCCUUGAUCUUGAUCGUACACAUUUGUGUGUAUGAUUAGUGUACGGUCAAAUCGGGGGCGUCACAAGUUGGUAUCAGAGCCGACUGCCUGUAGGAAUUCCCCUUCCGCACUCCUUGGCCGAAGUUGAGUCUAGUCAUUACAAAACUUUUACUAACAUGGUUGUGUGCCUUACGGGCCUAUGUCGCCAUUGGGUGGUAUUAGGAUCUUUUAUUCCUCGUCUAUACUCUGGGAUUCUGACUCUCUCCUACUCUGGUUAAAUGAUUUUGCUAAAAUCUAACUCUAGGUUCUCGUUACCACUUCCUGCCGAAGAGCCCCUUCAUUACAGAUGAUCGACUGCUUCAACAGAAGAUUAUGACAAUACUCUCUGAUGUUCUGUCGAAACCUUAUGCCAUUGCUUUUGCAAUUCCCUACCACCGAAAUAUCCCUAUGGAUAAGUAUUUAGACCCAUCGUGCUUACUUUUAUUCCCAGUCGAUCUUGUUAUUAUAAGAUACCCUGAGAAUACUUUGUGCCUACUGCCUUGCAGUUCUUUGCCACAUGCAUACCACUACGGAUAAUUUCUCGCAUUUAUCGAGUAUCCGCUCAUCCCCAGAUAUUCAUGCCGUUCACAAAAUUCUUUGAAAUACCUUUCGGUCUUCCGAAAAUCCUGAGCAACCUAUUGCUCCUGAAAUUCUUGCUUGCUUGCAUUAUGGUUAAUCCCAUAAGUAUAGUAAUCUUAUUGGCAACGUUUGUCAAUAUCAUUUUGAGUCCAUUGAUUCAAUAUGUUGCGAAUGCUCACAAUCCUCACUCAGAUCAUAGAAUUCAUCCUUCCGGCUCAGAUGUCAUUUAAAACGUGAGCUGGUCCUCGGCCAAUCAGAUUGCCAUCGAUUGUACCCCUAAGUCUAUUCAACUUGUCCGUCCUUGAUCAGAGCGUUUGCUCCUGAUCCCUUGAUUUGAAAAUCAUAAUUCCUUUGUUAUUUAAAUGUUGAGUUAUUCAGAUGUUCUGUAAAACGAUGAAUUUGCAUUCUUUCUUCCUCUGAUUGGGUAUCGAUACUCACAUCAGCUCCAUUGUGGAUCACCAUAUCCACUGUUGGAUUAUUAUCCGACAAUGUCCUUCAUAAUUAAUCACCUUGUGAGUUCUUUCUCCGAUACAUAAUGUCUUUGGUAAUUUGUAUCCUCUCCUUUUGCCAACCAUGCUCUGCUUUCGAGCUGGUAAUAUUUACUCUCAAAGCUUGUGGUAUAUGUUUCCACGAUAGCCUGACGGGUUGAACCUAUGCCUUCCUUAAUUUGUGUGACCUCGAAAGUUAUGCGGGUUAUACCCUGCUGACGCUUCGUCAGAUAACUUUUCAACACUACAACUUCGAAAAGGGGAGGUAAAUGUAAGGUUAUGCAUUGAAGAAGUGGGAGUCGACCUUGAACUUUGUGUUCAUGCCCAUGAACACGAUGUAGAUCUUAUCAUUAAAGCUUCUCUUAAAUUAAUUACUCCCUUGGUAUAAGUUCAUAUUAUAUCUGGGAUCUGGCCUUUUUCAAUCGUGGUUUCGACCAUGUUCUCUUUUAGGUACCAUUUCUCGUGCAAGUUUAAGCACUUGUCUUCUGCAGAGCAAUACCCCAGUCCAACCUCUACUUUGAUCUGUCGUCGAGUAUUACCCCCUGGUAUCUCAAGGAUACCACGGGAUACAUAACUUCUUAUGAGUUCUUCAUCAACUAAUAUUCUUGCCAAUUCCAUUUUUCCAACGAGUUAUCAGUUGUUAGAACCCCUCAAGGACACCGACAACUGAAUUGAGUCCGCACUACGAUUCAACAACUCUUGGUAACCUUCAUUACUUAUGAGUCUGAACUCGAUCACGUCAUUCCGAGCCUACUCGGCUAUAUCAUUAUCGUGCCAAAUUUUAACUGUGCUACCUGGUCCUUCUUUCCGGAGCACAAUUUCGACGAUGGGCUAAGCUUACGUCGAUCUUCCUUGUCUUAUCGUUUCACCUCAAACAACAAACUUGAUUUCAAGUUUGUGUCAUACCCAUGGUUCCAAUAACCUUUCGCUUCAUCAUUCGUUUGACUUGAUGUCAUCGCCGACCGAUUACAUCUCCAUGAAACCUCUCGACAGAAAUUGUCAUGAUCAUCAUCAACAUUUCGAGCUCCUCAAGGAUAUCAAUUGAAUUCCUGAUGAGAAAUACCAUCCUUGCCCUCGAUGAUUUGUGUUAUCAUCGACCACUCGAUUGCCUUCCGUUCAACACAAACUUGUUCGUGUUUUGUGUUAUACCUUGAGACCCUUGCUAUCCAACAUUUGUUCUCCUUUACCUUGGAGUAUUACCAUCUUUUAUGUCAAGAAUGUUGUGAGAAUUUCACCACCUCUUAAGAAUUCUUGGUAUCGUGAUACUUCUCACCAUCACCAUUCUUUCUUGGUCCUCGUGUUGAUUCCAACCGGGGUACCAACAAGUGAACGGUGUUGUUUGGAUUCUGCACUUCUAGCAACGCUAUUGCUUUGAAGUUAAUGGUCGGUCGUUCGUUCUUAGACUAUUGAUUAUUGAAUCACCAUUCUGACAUUGGUAGUGCAACCCAACCCAUAUUUGGGGCGCACAUUUUAACCAAUGUUUAAUUGUGUAUAUUUUCCUUGAGCAUACAUCAUUAUAUCAUUUGAUCCGAUAAAUGUUAUCUCCUUGUUCACAUAACUAUGGAAAUCCAUCUUUUUGGAUACCCCGUUGAAUUAUCGCUAAGUCCAUCAGCCACCUCCUCAUCCUCUCCUUGGCUUAAUGAUGAAUCCCUUCGUGUAUCCAGAGUCUGACCUUUGCUUGAAGACCAUGGCAAUGCUACCUCGAAGCAUGUCUGUGGUACUCCGAUUUUCAAUAAGAGCAUCUGAAGAACAAUGCUAAAUUUUCUCUGUCCAUUAUCCAAAUACUAUUGUUUGGGCUAUGUCAUGAAAUCCUCUCCCCUUACCUAAAUGGUUUUCUACUUACUAUCCUGUCAUGGAUAUCAUGCUCUGCUUAUCCUUGGAAAGGAUAUACCCCUGAAAUAUAUGUUUAAACACAUUUUCCUUUCCAUUGUUUUCUUUAACCUUUCUUGCGAUCAAUAUGAUCUAAGCAGUAACAAUUCCCUGCUUAUGUAACCAACUCGGUGCACAAUUCUGUCAGAAAGACCCUGUUGCUUUUGUCGAUGACAUUCCGGUAACCACCGACGGACGAGAACUUUGCCUACUAGUCCGCCUCGUUCAACGAGCAGGAAAAUGGUUCUCUUCGUCCCUCGCCCUUGGUACCGAUGUUGUUGCCGACAUAACCGACAAACUACCUCUGACAUGCCUUGCUUACAUAAUCGUGCAAGAUGUCACCGCCCUUCCUACUUUUAACCCACAUGGUGGGCCCAUAACCCACAGUUCCACAGGAUCAAAACCUGGCUCUCAUGUACACCCCCUGUUCCCAAAGUUAUUCCUCGCGCGUGGCCUCAUAAGUAAUUCACGAACCACCUCCCGAGAGAUCAUCAAUUCUGGUACCAGACACAAUACUUAUUCCGUUGAUCUCAACCCCUUUCAUGCCCUAAUGCAGACCCGUUCUUACAGGAUACACCCCUUAUUCUUUUGUAAGUAUGAUGGAGUUCCCGAAGAAAGGAUACCGACUUCAUCAUGAUGACCUGAAAUAGAGAAUUGACGACAUCAACGAAAGGGAUUAACUUCUUCGAGAAGAGUAGCCAAGACCGAGAAGAUCUGUUAGCAUUUCCUAACCAGACUUUCCCCCCUACUCUACCUCUUAAAUCUCGGGACGAGAUUUCUUGUAGUGGAGGAGAAUUGUGACGCCCGGAUAAUUAAGCUACAGUGAACCUCCGCUAAUGAUAAUGCGUCACCUCGGUUACUGUUGAUAAACUCGCGUCAGUUUAAAUUUCAAAUUUAAAAUAAACUCAAACAAUAAAAGUUUUCAAAUAUUAAAACUAAAUGUUCGGGUGGAGACAAAUGAUGCAUAGGUAAUUAUGGUGGAGAAACCACACUUUUAUAAGAUUUUUAAAUAAUCUAAAAUGAAUAAAAUAGUAGCUAAAACAAUUAAAUAAAUGCCUUUUGAAUUUUAUAAAAUACUAAACUAUUUUGUUCAGGGAUAAAACUUUUUGUGACAGUAGUUGGAAUUGUAACUUUAAUUUAGGUGUGGGUUUUACUUUUGUAAAAUUAUAAACUAUUAAAGAAAUAAAAGAAAACAGAAAACAAAGGUAAGAAUAAAACAAAACAAAAGAAACCAAGCCCCCUUCCCCCUGGGCCGUUCGGCCCAACCGGGCAUCCAGGCCACCAGGCCCAGCCCACCAGCUCCCCAUCUUCAACCCCUGUUCAUCAGGGGAGUGCUGGCCGUUGCUCGUGCGUCCAUGGACGGAUCGUCCACGCGCCGUGCAUCCAUGGCUCCUGGACGGUCUAUUAGAUCCCCCUCGACGCGUUGACGAACCCUAGCUCUCCUUUUCCCCUCCCCUGUGCCGCUUUCGUCCCCGCAACCCUUGGCCGAACCUGCAUCGCCAUGGCCUCCGACAUCCACGCGCCCACCGAGCUCCCCGCGCCCAGACACCUCGUCCGCGAGCUUCACCGACGUCCACUCCUUCGACUACGUCCACCAGUUGGAGCCGGGAGCCCGUGGAUCGCAGGGAUCGACGUCGUCUUCAACCUCCAACCACCGUGACGCCAUCGACGAAUUCGUCGCCGUCGCUCCACCCCGGCCUUCUCGAUCUCGCCUACGACACCGCGGUGAGGUCCUCACUCGAUUCCCGGUCUUCCCUGCUCGACCCAUGCCUAUAGCCGUCGUUCCCCACAGAACUUUGGCCGCCGUUAGUCCUCAUGGCCUCUUGCUUCGACCACCUCCACUGCUGCGCUACUGCUGCUACUGUCGCGCAGGCUCGUUCGCUACUACAGCCUGCGCUCCCGCGCGUGCCCACCCAUGGCCUCGCCUCCGCCUACCGCCGCUCACCCGCUGACGUGCGUCCGCCUCGCCUGACCGCGUCGGCCGUGGCCGCCAUCACCGUCCACGCGCGCGACACCGCGCCUGGCGCUGUUCGUUCGCACCGGCCACGCCCCCAGGCUCCCCUGCCCGCGCUGCCCUGUCACCCGCACCUGCCAGCCUCUCCCAUCCGCCUGGCCAUGCUCGCCCGCGCCGCUCGAGCUUCCUGCACGCGCGCUCGCCGACGCUGCCGCCGCCCCUGCUGGUCCUGCGCGCGCCCGCUGGAACCCUUGCCGCCGCCUCCGCCUGCAGCUAGCUCCGGCAACGCGGCCCGGGCCGCAUCCGGCCGUGCGCGGCGUUGCCUGGCCGUCUCCGCGCCAUGUCGAUAACUGCUGCUGCUCUGAACGUACUGCUGCUGCUGAAUGCUACUGUAACUAUGGCUAGCUUUGCGAAUAUUAGGCUAACUAACCCCCUUGACAGCCUCUAAUCAGCGGGUAAACAAUUACUAAUAGGCCAAGAAAAAUUAUGAGUAGAAAGUAUACUUGACAAACUUCAUUUUAUCCCAUUGGACCAAAUCCUUUCGAUGAACGGAUUAAAUCGUACGAAAAUCACAAAAGGCUAUCUUCUAUUAACAAAGAACAUAAUUAACCCCUAGUUGUGUGUGCGCGUGUGUGUUCUGUGUUUGUGAGGCCGGCCCCAUGUUCAAUUAGUUUAGGGUUAAUUAGUAUGUAGGUUAGCUACUAGCAGAUGACAUGUGGACCCCAUUAAUUAGGUUAGUAUUUAUUUAUUUGUUUAGGUAUAGCCUAUGACAUGUGGGAUCCACUUCUACUAUUCAUGUGUUGACCAGUCAAAUGUUGACUGGUUCAACCCAGCCCCACUGGCCCCACUUGCCACACAAUAGACUAGGAAACCCAUGGGUACACUUAGUAUAUUCUGUUUUAAUUUCGAAAUAUAAUUAAAUCCAGAAAUUUUAGAAAAUCAUUUAAACUUCGGAAAAUCAUAUAAAAUAAUCCGUAAUUCGGAUGAAAAUACUUUAUACAUGAAAGUUGCCCAGAACGAUGAGACGGAUCCGAAUACACAGUCCGUUGAUCAGCCACACGUCCCUAGAAUAGCGAACAUGCAACUCUCACUGUCCAGUCCGUCUAUCCAAAAACGUGAAACAUGGGUAAUACUUUCCCGGAUGUUUCCCCCCUUCGUCGGUAUCACCUAUUCCUGCGUUAGGUCACCCCUAGCACAACGUAUUGCCGCGUCUUACUUUGUGUUACAUUUGAUUGCUCUGUUAUUUAUAGUGUUCCCCCUCCGUUACUUCUUUCCGGUAGGCUCUGAGACCAUUGCUGAUACCCCUGUGAUCGACUACAUCGACGACGACCCCUUCUUCUUGCUAGAGCAACCAGGCAAGCCCCCCUCUUGAUCACCAGAUAUCGCCUAUUCUCUUCUACACUGCUUGCAUUAGAGUAGUAUAGCAUGUUACUGCUUUCUGUUUAUCCUAUCCUGAUGCAUAGCCUGUCCUUGUUACUACUGUUGUUACCUUUACCUGCCAUCCUACAUGCUUAGUUUAGGAUGCUAGUAUUCCAUCUGUGGCCCUACAUUCUUGUCUGUCUGCUGUGCUAUACUAUCGGGCCGUGAUCACUUGGGAGGUGAUCGCGGGUAUAUACUAUAUACUUAUACAUGACACAUGUGGUGACUAAAGUUGGGUCCGCUCAUUGAGUACCCGCAAGUGAUUCUGAUGAGGGGGCUGAAAGGACAGGUGGCUCCAUCCCGGUAGAGGUGGGUAUGGGUUCCCGAUGGCCCCCGACUGUUACUUUGAGGCGGAGCGACAGGGCAGGUUGAGACCACCUAGGAGAGAGGUGGGCCUGGCCCUGGUCGGCAUUCGCAAAUACUUAACACGUUUAACGAGAUCUUGGUAUUUGAUCUGAGUCUGGCUACUGGCCUAUACGCACUAACCAUCUACGCGGGUACAGUUAUGGGCACUCGACAUCGUGGUAUCAGCCGAAGCCUUCGUGACGUCAGCGACUGAGCGGCGCGCGCCGGGUUGGACCGCGUAACGUGACUUCCUUUGUAAUGGAGGUUGCUAGGUCUGCUCUCCGGCCGCGUACGCAACGUGCAGGUGUGCUAUGGGCGAUGGGCCCAGACCCCUGUGCGCUUAGGUUUAGACCGGCGUGCUGGCCUCUCUGUUGUGCCUAGGUGGGGCUGCGACGUGUUGAUCUUUUCAGGCCGGGCAUGACCCAGGAAAGUGUGUCCGGCCAAAUGGGAUCGAGCGUGUUGGGUUAUGUGGUGCACCCCUGCAGGGAAGUUAAUCUAUUCGAAUAGCCGUGAUCUUCGGUAACAGGACGACUUGGAGUUGUACCUUGACCUUAUGACAACUAGAACCGGAUACUUAAUAGAACACACCCUUCCAAGUGCCAGAUACAACCGGUGAUCGCUCUCUCACAGGGCGACAAGGGGAGGAUCAUCGGUUAGGAUUAUGCUAUACGAUGCUACUUGGAGGUCUUCAGUCUACUCUCUUCUACAUGCUGCAAGACGAGACUGCCAGAAGCGUAGUCUUCGAAAGGACUAGCUAUCCCCCCUUAUCCCGGCUUUCUGCAGUUCAGUCCACAUAUAAUAGCCUUAUUCCAGUUGAUACCAAUGCAUACAUAUGUAGUGUAGCUCCUUGCUUGCGAGUACUUUGGAUGAGUACUCACGGUUGCUUUCUCCCUCUUUUCUCCCUAUCCCUUCUACCUGGUUGUCGCAACCAGAUGUUGGAGCCCAGGAGCCAGACGCCACCUUCGACAACGACUCCUACUACACCGGAGGUGCCUACUACUACGUGCUGCCCGCUGAUGACGACCAGGAGUAGUUAGGAGGAUCCCAGGCAGGAGGCUUGCGCCUCUUUCGAUCUGUAUCCCAGUUUGUGCUAGCCAUCUUAUGGCAACUUGUUUAACUUAUGUCUGUACUCAGAUAUUGUUGCUUCUGCUGACUCAUCUUUGAUCGAGUUCUUGUAUUCGAGCCUUCGAGGCCCCUGGCUUGUAAUAUAAAGCUUGUAUUAUUUUAAUUUGUGUCUAGAGUUAUGUUGUGAUAUCUUCCAGUGAGUCCUUGAUCUUGAUCGUACACAUUUGCAUGUACGAUUAGUGUACGGUCAAAUCAAGGGCGUCACAUCGGUCUCGGGGCGUUACAACACUCCACCACUACGAGAGAAUCUCGUCCCGAGAUCUAGAAUGGCACUGGGGAAAACAGAAAAGAAAGAGAAGAGGUAAAACUAAGUUGCUCCUUUGAUAAACGAGUGAGACCAAAGAACCUUGAAAAGGUUAAGUCAUUUCGAGAAAAGAAUACAACGGAGGUGAACGAAAUUGAAAACACUCUGUUAGAAAAGAGGAACAAGGAAAAACAAAUUCAGGCAGCACUCCGGUUGAAAGGAGAUGCAAGGAUUGAUAAGGCAAAAAGAACUUGAGCAAAAAGGCACAACACUCCGGUUAAAUGAAUAAACCAAGAAAAGAACAUGAUCCUAACAAAACAAGAAGAUGGGUUGAAGAGAGCAACAUCACAAUGCCUCCGGAACAAAAGUAAGAAUGGAAUGGAAUGAACGAAGGGGAACACGAUCUUGAGAGAGCACACUUGCAACAAAUACUAGACUCGAGUUGUUGGAAAACCAACAACGAAAAGAAUAAGCUUGAUAUGGACUUAUAGAAGACAUCUCAAAAAUUAUGAGGUGAAAUUCUGCCACUAACGGAAAACAAUGGAUUGGAUUGAUAUCAACAAGAAUACGAGAAGCUAUAUCACCGGGAGGAUAAAAGAAGAAGUUGGGUCAUUUAUAAGCACCAUAAUUAGCAACAAUCCUUAGGGAAAGCUUUAGGUGAAAUAUAAUCCAAGAUAACUUCAAUGAAGAGGUUGAUGGAUUGAGAAGAGCUCAUGCUCGAAGGACUUGAUGGGUUUAAACUAUCUCAUACUUAAUAACUUGCGAAUCAUGAAACAUGAAGGGACAUAGUCAAGAAAGACAUAACACCAUCUCAAAAGAUAAGGGGGAACAAUUGCACUCUGGAUUGCAAGAUGAAGAAUGCUUGAGCUCCUUAGAAAAGAAUCUUGAUGAAAACUUCGAGAUGGAAUUAAAUCCUUUAUGAAACAUCAUGUAGAGCCUCAAUGAAGAACUCCGGUAACAAAGGGUAACGACAAGAAAGAGAAGUUGAAAACACAAGGUGAAACCUUGCGAUGAUUGGAAGAGCUCUGCGACGAGAUAAGUUGAAACUUGGAGUUCCGGAAAAGAAAAGAUGAAUCAAGUGAAACCGAGAAUUGAGCCUCCGUAAUAAAUAAUUGAAUAUACUUGAUGAAACAAGAAUAAAAAUUACAUUAUGCUUAUCCUUCACCCAUUAAAUUGGUGACAAGCAAUGGAUUUGGCAUACUACUUAUUCUCGUAGAAAGAUUAAAAGAGAUAUAUCAAAACUUGAGAAGGUCUUCAACGAACCACCGGUAGAAUUGAAAUAAUGAAUAAAUUGAUGAGGAAGAGAAGUCUUGAACGAACCACCAUAAGAAUUAAAAUGAACGAAGAAAAGAUAAGGACAACACCGGGAAGAAUUAGCAAAUGAAUGAAGAAGCUUGAGAGAAUUUAGAUACAUGAGAACGAAGGGAUCACGAACUGAUUAGAGAUCACUUGAAUGAAGCACCGGUAAAAUUUGGAGUAUGAGAGCUGAAAGCUGGAAUGAAUAAUUCUGAUAUGAUGGCCUCCACAGAAUCAAACUGAAAAGACUCCUGAAUUGCUCCGGAUAGGUGAAAAGAAAUCUCACAUUCGAAAACAAUUAUGAGAGGAUGGUCUCGAACUAGAACCACGAAUCCCUGAGAGAACGGAUAAGAUAUGGAGGAAAAACUCUUCUUCGGUCUUCAAAUGUUGAGAAUGACGACGAGAAACACCACCAAGAAUUAUUUAAACCCUCCGAAAGAAUCAAAAGUGAAGAGGUUGAACCAACGAUGAAAAGAAUUUGAAAGAUCUUGGAGAAAUACAUUUGACUGAUGAUAAUUCAUUCUUACGUCAAACAUUGACAAGAAAUUUGAGGAUAUCUCCGGGAAAUAAGAAGAGUCAGGUAAGAUCAUGGGAAAAGACCUGUGGGUUAGGGCCCACUCAAAAGAAACAUCAUUGAAGUAUUUAAAAGAUAGAUUGCACCAGUUGAAUUACAUAGCUCAAAAGAGAUAACAUCCUCGAAAGAGCUUGAAUGAAAGCAGAGUGGAAACACGAUUCUUCUAGAUAUCUUGAGCACUCCAGAACAAUUGAGUAGCGAGCGGUGAAAGAUUAUUAGGUGUACCGUUAUGAGAAGGCAUUUGAAACGAGGAAAAUGAUAUGACCAACACCGAAAGCUUGAAUUGGUUCCACCGAAGAAGAAAACGAGUGAUGAGAGACGAACUUGAAGAUCCGUUAGAAUCUUCAUGAGAAUCACCGGAUAAGAAUAUUGAUAGAAAAAGAAUGGAGAGGCUUCACAUCAAUAAGAUGGAUACUCGAUUAAGAGAUCUGAAUCCUUGGAGAAAAACAAAGGGAGGGAGGGUGGGAAAAACAAAGACAAUUUGAAAUGGAUGAAAUGAACAUCGUUGAGAAGAACUGAUACUAGAUCUUGCGAAUGUUGAAAUGAUCGGAUCCACUUGAAGGGAAACACACCGAUUGAAAAGGAUUGACAUGACAAUCUCAAUUAUCGAGAAGGAUUAGUAUUCACAUCGGAGUAUGAGAACACCGUUUGGGAAAGGGUAUGGAAUCAACAUUUGACUUCAAAGCAACUCGAAUACCACAUCUCAAAACAAAACAAGGAUUGGCUUGCAGAAUAAGCCGGAACAAACAUAUGAUAGAGAUUUCGUCCGAAGUUUUCAUGGUCGGGCCUACACGGGCUCGAUCGUACAACACCAUCAUGUACAAGGCAGUGCACAUGACAUACGAAGCUCCCCGAGUCGGCAUAGCCAAGGACUCUUUAAGACACAAUGAGACCACUUUAAAACCGACCGUGGAUAGGCGGACCACUAGACGUCGAACCCCAAUUUCAUAUCAUACAUCUGUCGGAAAGAUAUCCUAAGAGCUACUUGAAUUCCCACUUAUAAACUCCCGAAAUUUUCCGAUUAUGCAAUUAGGUGUUGGGGAUACAUGGGAAGCAUAAUAUCUCACCCAAAACUAGCAAAUCCUACAUCCAGCUGUAUCCAUCCUUCAACACAUAACCAAGAAACCUUCGGAAAUCGUCUACCUCAACCUUCGAAAAGCAUCCGUUAUACAAGUUAUGGCAAUACUCCCGAACUCCCGCCCCAGUACUGGGUGGCGUCGAGGUUAUCUCACCAACAACUGCAUAAAGGAGAUUUUCGAUGUCGGCGAACUAAACUCAGGUAUUCCAGAACUGCAACGAUAAAAUUGUGACGACAACACCUCGGAGCUCAACUCCCCGGGACACUGCCACAACCCCUAAAUGACAGGAGGCACCAAGAACAAUGUUCUCAUCACAAAUCGAUCGGAACGAUUCCAAGAUACCCGCAUGAUCCUAAAUUUUUUUUAGUGAAAUUUGAGAAGAGAAGAGUCAAAACUCUACGUCAGGAUGCCUUACCAGAGCGAUGAAGGGACUAUGGAGUAAAAGUAAUUCCUAAACUCUCCGAUAUAUAAUUCCUAAAUGACUCAAAACAUUUGUCUAGACUCAACAACGGCCGCUAAAAACGAUCAAGUAGUGGGGGCUCCUAAGGUCGGGGAAGGCUCUGAUUACCAACUUGUAACGCCCUCGAUGCGGCUAUAUCUCCCACGUGUCGAAUCAUGACUUAGAGGCAUAACCGCAUUGAAAGCAAUGUCGCAAGUGAGGUUAUCAUCACACAACCCAUGUAAUACAUAAGGGAAAGAGAUACAUAGUUGGCUUACAAUCGCCACUUCACAAAAUUACAUGAAUAAAGCAUUACAUCAUCCAAAUACAAUCAAGGUCCGACUACGGAACCAAAAUAAAAGAAGAACCCCAAAUGCGACACGGUCCCCGAUCGACCCCAACUGGGCUCCACUACUGAUCAACUAGAAUGAAACAACACAAAGGACAAGAUCUUCAUCGAGCUCCUCUGUGAGCUUGGUUGCGUCAUCUGCAUGGUUCAACGGCACCUACAAGCUGGUUUGGAAGUAUCUGUGAGUCACGGGGACUCAGCAAUCUCGCACCCUCGCGAUCAAGACUAUUUAAGCUUAUGGGUAAGGUAAAAGGUAUGAGGUGGAGCUGCAGCAAGCGACUAGCAUAUAUGGUGGCUAACAUACGCAAAUGAGAGCGAGACGAGAAGGCAAAGCACGGUCGAUAAAAGUAUGAUCAAGAAGUGAUCCUAGAACAACCUACGUCAAGCAUAACUCCAACACCGUGUUCACUUCCCGGACUCCGCCGGAAAGAGACCAUCACGGUUACACACGCAGUUGAUUCAUUUUAAUUAAGUUAAGGUUCAAGUUAUCUACAACCGGACAUUAACAAAUUCCCAUCUGCCCAUAACCGCGGGCACGACUUUCGAAAGUUCAAAUCCCUGCAGGGGUGUCCCAACUUAGCCCAUGACAAGCUCUCACGGUCAACGAAGGAAUAGACCUCCUCCCGAGACAUUGCAAUCAGGCUCGGUAUCCCGGUUCUACAAGACAUCCUCGACAAUGGUAAAACAAGUCCAGCAAGACCACCCGCUGUGCCGACAAAUCCCGAUAGGAGCUGCACAUAUCUCGUUCUUAGGGCACACCGGAUAAGCUAAGCGUACAGGAGCCGACGUAACCCAAGUUGCCAAGGGAUGGCCCUGCACGGUGCUCUGGGUUGGACCAACACUUAGAGGAGCACUGGCCCGGGAGGGUUAAAAUAAGAUGACCCUUGGGCUGGCCUAACCCAAGGGAAAAAGAGGCUAGGUGGCAAAUGGUAAAACCAAGGUUGGGCCUUGCUGGAGGAGUUUUAUUCAAAGCGAACUGUCAAGGGGUUCCCAUUAUAACCCAACCGCGUAAGGAACGCAAAAUCUGGGAACAUAACACCGAUAUGACGGAAACUAGGGUGGCAAGAGUGGAACAAAACACUAGGCAUAAGGCCGAGCCUUCCACCCUUUACCAAGUAUAUAGAUGCAUUAAUUAAAUAAGAUAUAUUCUGAUAUCCCAACAAGUAAACAUGUUCCAACAAGGAACAACAUCUCCAUGUUCCAACAAGGAACAAACUUCAAUCUUCACCUGCAACUAACAACUCUAUAAGAGGGGCUGAGCAAAGCGGUAACAUAGACAAACAACGGUUUGCUAGGACAAGGUGGGUUUGAGGCUUGGUUCAACAAUAUGGGAGACAUGAUAAGCAAGUGGUAGGUAUCGCAGCAUAGGCAUAGCAAAAGAGCGGGCAACUAAGCAAGCAAAGAUAGAAGUGAUUUCGAGGGUAUGAUCAUCUUGCCUGAGAUCCCGCAAGGAAGAAGAACGAGUCCAUGAAGAAGACAAAUGGACGUAGUCGAAUGAAUCCUCACAACACGACGUUAUCGGAACCAACCCGAAGAAGCAACACCGGAAAGAAGCAAACAAUCAUGGUGAACAAACAUCACAUAAGCAUGGCACAAUGCGCAAACAAGUAUGAUGCAUGUCCGAUUUAAUGAUAAAUGGCAUGGCAAAAUGCACAAGCAAUACUACAAAUUAAGUGGAGCUCAAUAUGCAACUCCGUUGCAUAUUGACGAAACACCACGUGACUUAUUAAGUUCGAUCUUGUUUAUGUACCAAACAAUAUUAAAUGUUGUUAAACAUGGAAAGAGGGUGAAGCAAAGAAAACUACCUAUCUAGUCAAGUUUAAAUGAGGCCGGAAACAACGAACAACAAUUUCCGGAAACUCCUCAUAUGCAUAUAUUAGGUUCGGUACUGUUCUGCCCUAAACACAAUUUUAGGUUUGUUAAACAUGCAAAGAGAUGCCACCAUGUUAAACUAUGCAAAAUUCUACCCCAUUUACAUAUAAAGAUUAUUAAAUUCUGAGUUACGGUUAUUUAGUUAUGAAUUAAGUCAUUUUAGCAUGGCAUAGGGGCAAAUUAAAACAAACAACAUUUUAAACAUUUUAAACAUGGAUGGAAAUGACAUAUUAUGAAACUACACAAAAUUCUAAGCAAUUUUCAUAUAUAAAUCAUUUUAUUCCGGUGCAUAGAUGAUGAGUUAUUAUAUGCAUGAAAUAGGAGGGUUUUUCUGUAAAAAAUGCUGACUUUGGAAAAAAUAGACAAAUUGCAGAACUGAAAAAUAAAUAGAGGCGGGCUGAAACACAUAAGGCUGGCCCAACCAGAGGGAAAAGAAAAAAACAAAAGAGGGGCGCGGGUGCCCUCACCAUGGGCUUCGGCCCAGUCAGUGCAGCGGGCCGGCUUGCGCUGGCGGAACUGGACCGCGAGGAUGCAGCCCACGCGGACGCGGUCAACGGUGACGGGCGAUCUCCUCCCGUUUGAAGCAGAGACGGGAACAGGCACGACGGCGGCGGUGGUCUGGCGAGGACGUCGACGGGGCAAGAUGAGGAGGCCAGGAACGAGUAGAUCGACGCGUGGGGAACUCGGAUCCGGCGACGAACGCAGUCAACGCUCGAGGAAGAGCGCUGUGAAACACUGCUCGACCUGAAGUAGAGGAGAUGCACGGGAAGCAGGGCAUCAAUGGUGCGGGCGGCGAUGUGACUUGCUCCGGCGGGGUUUGCAGGUCGGGAGGCGCGGGGAGGACCGGGAACGGUGGAGAUGCGGUCCAUGGCGGCGAUUUCGACCUGCAGAGGGCGACGGAACGAUGACUAUGGCAGCAGGGGCAUCCUCCUGUUGCUCCUGCUCCUGGCGAGACAGAGAGAGAAACUGAGAUAGCGAGAGAGAGAGAAGGGAACCAGAUGAAAGGAAGGGCGCGCUGCGACCUAGAGAGAUGAGGCGGCCGGCAGCGGCCAUGGGAGCUCGUGCUCCUAGUUGCUCCUCGGGAUGGUCUGCUGUUUGCUGCUGCUCGCCAGCAGCAGCUGGGUCGACGACCUGGGUCGAGGUGCACCCCGGCGCCAUGGAAGCUACGGGAGAGGUAGGCGCACGGGCAGAGGAGCUCUGGCUCCUGUAGGAUUUGGGCGACGGCGGUGGUUGGACGGGAGGGGAAAACAAGGAGAAAGUGGAGGCUCAACAGAGAGAUUGGGUGGAGAUGGAUCCCGAGGUGGGAGAUGCUGGCGGCGGGUGAAGGGACAAGCCUCCUAAUUUGUAGGGUUGGGCAAUAUAUAUACACCAGGUGGAUUAGGUUAGGCGCUACCUCAUCCCUACGAUCGUAAUCGGAUGGUCACGAAUAAAAUAGUUAGGGAUCCCAAAUAAGAAAACGAUGACGUUUUGUAGAUGUUUGGGGAUUAUCCGGACACAACGGUGGCGACAGUCCGGGUCGGGUCGGGGACAACUUUUCGGACGCGCGCGCGAGGGGGUUUGAUGCACUGAGUAGAGAGGGUUUGGUAGGGUCUGACGGUGAGUAGAGGACUGUGCAGAAGGCCUCAAGCUGAGACUAGAGAAGAGAGAAAGGCCCAGCGACUGUUUCCGGAGACCGAAAAGGUCCGACGAUUUGACCGACUAUAUUGCCGCUAUAGUUUAACGGUUGAGCUAUCAAACAAACUCCGAAUGCGAUGAAACUUGGCAGGCGGCCUAUCUACACCAUAAAAAGACCACACACCAACUUUCAUCCCAUUCCGAGAACAUUUCCGGCCACUUAUAUAAUAAUAUUUCGGACAUGCCGCAGGUGCAUGCAAGUGUGUCUGGGCUCAAAACGGACAACGGACGGAACGAGGAGACCGGGACGGAUGCAAGUUUCGAAAACAUGAUGAUGCAAUGCACAUGAUGACAUGAAAAGAUGCAACACACAAGCAAAAGACAUGGCAACAACAGCGAAUAAGUGGACGACACCUGGCACAUCGGUCUCGGGGCGUUACAACACUCCACCACUACGAGAGGAUCUCGUCCUGAGAUCUAGAAUGGCACCGGGGAAAACAGAAAAGAAAGAGAAGAGGUAAAACUAAGUUGCUCCUUUGACAAACGAGUGAGACCAAAGAACCUUGAAAAGGUUAAGUCAUUUCGAGAAAAGAAUACAGCGGAGGUGAACGAACUUGAAAACACUCUGUUAGAAAAGAGGAACAAGGAAGAACAAAUUCAGGCAGCACUCCGGUUGAAAGGAGAUGCAAGGCUUGAUAAUGCGAAAAGAACUUGAGCAAAAAGGCACAACACUCUGGUUAAAUGAAUAAACCAAGAAAAGAACACGAUCCUAACAAAACAAGAAGAUGGGUUGAAGAGAGCAACAUCACAAUGCCUCCGGAACAAAAUUAAGAAUGGAAUGGAAUGAACAAAGGGGAACAUGAUCUUGAGAGAGCACACUUGCAACAAAUACUAGACCGGAGUUGUUGGAAAACCAACAACGAAAAGAAUAAGCUUGAUAUGGACUUAUAGAAGACAUCUCAAAAAUUAUGAGGUGAAAUUCUGGCACUAACGGAAAACAAUGGAUUGGAUUGAUAUCAACAAGAAUACGAGAAGCUAUAUCACCGGUAGGAUAAAAGAAGAAGUUGGGUCAUUUAUAAGCACCAUAGUUAGCAACAAUCCUUAGGGAAAGCUUUAGGUGAAAUAUAAUCCAAGAUAACUUCAAUGAAGAGGUUGAUGGAUUGAGAAGAGCUCAUGCUCGAAGGACUUGAUGGGUUUAAACUAUCUCAUAUUUGACAACUUGUGAAUCAUGAAACAUGAAGGGACAUUGUCAAGAAAGACAUAACACCAUCUCAAAAGAUAAGGGGGGAACAAUUGCACUCCUGAUUGCAAGAUGAAGAAUGCUUGAGCUCCUUAGAAAAGAAUCUUGAUGAAAACUUUGAGAUGGAAUUAAAUCCUUUAUGAAACAUCAUGUAGAGCCUCCAUGAAGAACUCCGGUAACAAAGGGUAACGACAAGAAAGAGAAGUUGAAAACACAAGGUGAAACCUUGCGAUGAUUGGAAGAGCUCUGCGACGAGAUAAGUUGAAACUUGGAGCUCCGGAAAAGAAAAGAUGAAUCAAGUGAAACCGAGAAUUUGAUGAGCCUAAGUAAUAAAUAAUUGAAUAUACUCGAUGAAACAAGAAUAAAAAUUACAUUAUGCUUAUCCUUCACCCAUUAAAUUGAUGACAAGCAAUGGAUUUGGCAUACUACUUAUUCUCGUAGAAAGGAUUAAAAGAGAUAUAUCAAAACUUGAGAAGGUCUUCAACGAACCACCGGUAGAAUUGAAAUAACAAAUAAAGUGAUGAGGAAGAGAAGUCUUGAACGAACCACCGUAAGGAUUAAAAUGAUCGAAGAAAAGAUAAGGACAACACCAGGAAGAAUUAGCAAAUGAAUGAAGAAGCUUGAGAGAAUUUAGAUACAUGAGAACGAAGGGAUCACGAACUGAUUAGAGAUCACUUGAACGAAGCACCAGUAAAAUUUGGAGUAUGAGAGCUGAAAGCUGGAAUGAAUAAUUCUGAUAUGAUGGCCUCCAGAGAAUCAAACUGAAAAGACUCCUGAAUUGCUCUGGAUAGGUGAAAAGAAAUCUCACAUUCGAAAACAAUUAUGAGAGGAUGGUCUCGAACUAGAACCACGAAUCCCUGAGAGAACGGAUAAGAUAUGGAGGAAAAACUCUUCUUCGGUCUUCAAAUGUUGAGAAUGACGACGAGAAACACCACCAAGAAUUAUUUAAACCCUCUGAAAGAAUCAAAAGCGAAGAGGUUGAACCAACGAUGAAAAGAAUUUGAAAGAUCUUGGAGAAAUACAUUUGACUGACGAUAAUUCAUUCUUACGUCAAAUUUUGACAAGAAAUUUGAGGAUAUCUCCGGGAAAUAAGAAGAGUCAGGUAAGAUCCUGGGAAAAGAACUGUGGGUUAGGGCCCACUCAAAAGAAACAUCGUUGAAGUAUUUAAAAGAUAGAUUGCACCAGUUGAAUUACAUAGCUCAAAAGAGAUAACAUCCUCGAAAGAGCUUGAAUGAAAGCAGAGUGGAAACCCGAUUCUACCGAAAGCUUGAAUUGGUUCCACCGGAGAAGAAAACGAGUGAUGAGAGACGAACUUGAAGAUCUGUUAGAAUCUUCAUGAGAAUCACCGGAUAAGAAUAUUGAUCGAAAAAGAAUGGAGAGGCUUCACAUCAAUAAGAUGGAUACUCGAUUAAGAGAUCUGAAUCCUUGGAGGAAAACAAAGGGAGGGAGGGUGGGAAAAAUAAAGACAAUUUGAAAUGGAUGAAACGAACAUCGUUGAGAAGAACUGAUACUAGAUCUUGCGAAUGUUGAAAUGAUCGGAUCCACUUGAAGAGAAACACACCGAUUGAAAAGGAUUGACAUGACAAUCUCAAUUAUCGAGAAGGAUUAGUAUUCACAUCGGAGUAUGAGAACACCGUUUGGGAAAGGGUAUGGAAUCAACAUUUGACUUCGAAGCAACUCAAAUACCACAUCUCAAAACAAAACAAGGAUUGGCUUGCAGAAUAAGCCGGAACAAACAUAUGAUAGAGAUUUCGUCCGAAGUUUUCAUGGUGGGGCCUACAAGGGCUCGAUCGUACAACACCAUCAUGUACAAGGUAGUGCACAUGACAUACAAAGCGUCCCCGAGUCGACAUAGCCAAGGACUCUUUAGGACACAACGAGACCACUGUAAAACCGACCGUGGAUAGGCGGACCACUAGACGUCGAACCCCAAUUUCAUAUCAUACAUCUGUCGGAAAGAUAUCCUAAGAGCUACUUGAAUUCCCACUUAUAAACUCCCGAAAAUUUCCGGUUAUGCAAUCAGGUGUUGGGGAUACAGGGGAAGCAUAAUAUCUCACCCAAAACUAGCAAAUCCUACAUCCAGCUGUAUCCAUCCUUCAACACAUAACCAAGAAACCUUCAGAAAUCGUCUACCUCAACCUUCAAAAAGCAUCUGUUAUACAAGUUAUGGCAAUACUCCCGAACUCCCGCCCCAGUACUGGGUGGCGUCGAGGUUAUCUCACCAACAACUGCAUAAAGGAGAUUUUCGAUGUCGGCGAACUAAACUCAGGUAUUCCAGAAUUGCAACGAUAAAAUUGUGACGACAACACCUCGGAGCUCAACUCCCCGGGACACUGCCACAACCCCUAAAUGACAGGAGGCACCAAGAACAAUGUUCUCAUCACAAAUCGAUCGGAACGAUUCCAAGAUACCCGCAUGAUCCUAAAAAAAUUUAGUGAAAUUUGAGAAGAGAAGAGUCAAAACUCUACGUCAGGAUGCCUUACCAGAGCGAUGAAGGGACUAUGGAGUAAAAAUAAUUCCUAAACUCUCCGAUAUAUAAUUCCUAAAUGACUCAAAACAUUUUUCUAGACUCAACAACGGCCGCUAAAAACGAUCAAGUAGUGGGGGCUCCUAAGGUCGGGGAAGGCUCUGAUUACCAACUUGUAACGCCCUCGAUGCGACUAUAUCUCCCACGUGUCGAAUCACGACUUAGAGGUAUAACCGCAUUGAAAGCAAUGUCGCAAGUGAGGUAAUCAUCGCACAACCCAUGUAAUACAUAAGGGAAAGAGAUACAUAGUUGGCUUACAAUCGCCACUUCACACAAUUACAUGAAUAAAGCAUUACAUCAUCCAAAUACAAUCAAGGUCCGACUACGAAACCAAAAUAAAAGAAGAACCCCAAAUGCGACACGGUCCCCGAUCGACCCCAACUGGGCUCCACUACUGAUCAACUAGAACGAAACAACACAAAGGACAAGAUCUUCAUCGAGCUCCUCUGUGAGCUUGGUUGCCUCAUCUGCACGGUUCAACGGCACCUGCAAGCUGGUUUGGAAGUAUCUGUGAGUCACGGGGACUCAGCAAUCUCGCACCCUCGCGAUCAAGACUAUUUAAGCUUAUGGGUAAGGUAAAAGGUAUGAGGUGGAGCUGCAGCAAGCGACUAGCAUAUAUGGUGGCUAACAUACGCAAAUGAGAGCGAGACGAGAAGGCAAAGCACGGUCGAUAAAAGUAUGAUCAAGAAGUGAUCCUAGAACAACCUACGUCAAGCAUAACUCCAACACCGUGUUCACUUCCCGGUCUCCGCCGGAAAGAGACCAUCACGGUUACACACGCAGUUGAUUCAUUUUAAUUAAGUUAAGGUUCAAGUUAUCUACAACCGGACAUUAACAAAUUCCCAUCUGCCCAUAACCACAGGCACGGCUUUCGAAAGUUCAAAUCCCUAUAGGGGUGUCCCAACUUAGCCCAUGACAAGCUCUCACAGUCAACGAAGGAAUAGACCUCCUCCCGAGACAUUCCGAUCAGGCUCGGUAUCCCGGUUCUACAAGACAUCCUCGACAAUGGUAAAACAAGUCCAGUCAGUGCAGCGGGCCGAAACACAGAAGGCUGGCCCAACCAGAGGGAAAACAAAAAAACAAAAGAGGGGCGCGGGUGCCCUCACCAUGGGCUUCGGCCCAGUCAGUGCAGCGGGCCGGCUUGCGUUGGCGGAACUGGACCGCGAGGAUGCAGCCCACGCGGACGCGGUCAACGGUGACGGGCGAUCUCCUCCCUUCGAAGCAGAGACGGGAACAGGCACGACGGCGGCGGUGGUCCGGCGAGGACGUCGACGGGGCAAGACGAGGAGGCCGGGAACGAGCAGAUCGGUGUGUGGGGAACUCGGAUCCGGCGACGGACGCAGUCAACGCUCGAGGACGAGCGCUAUGAAGCACUGCUCGACCUGAAGCAGAGGAGAUGCACGGGAAGCAGGGCAUCGAUGGUGCGGGCGGCGAUGUGACUUGCUCCGGCGGGGUUUGCAGGUCGGGAGGCGCGGGGAGGACCGGGAACGGUGGAGAUGCGGUUCCAUGGCGGCAAUUUCGACCUGCAGAGGGCGACGGAACGAUGACCAUGGCAGCAGGGGCGUCCUCCUAUUGCUCCUGCUCCUGGCGAGAGAGAGAGAGAGAGAAACUAAGAUAGCGAGAGAGAGAAGGGAACCAGAUGAAAGGAAGGGCGCGCUGCGACCUGGAGAGACGAGGCGGCCGGCGGCGGCCAUGGGAGCUCGUGCUCCUAGUUGCUGCUCGGGAUGGUCUGCUGUUUGCUGCUGCUCGCCGGCAGCGGCUGGGUCGACAACGGGGUCGAGGUGCGCCCCGGCGCCAUGGAAGCUACGGGAGAGGUAGGCGCACGGGCAGAGGAGCUCUGGCUCCUGUAGGAUUUGGGCGACGGCGGUGGUUGGACGGGAGGGGAAAACGAGGAGAAAGUGGAGGCUCAGUGGAGAGAUUGGGUGGAGAUGGAUCCCGAGGUGGGAGAUGUUGGCGGCGGGUGAAGGGACAAGCCUCCUAAUUUCUAGGGUUGGGCAAUAUAUAUACACCAGGUGGAUUAGGUUAGGCGCUACCUCAUCCCUACGAUCGUAAUCGGAUGGUCGCGAAUAAAAUAGUUAGGGAGCCCAAAUAAGAAAACGAUGACGUUUUUUAGAUGUUUGGGGAUGAUCCGGACACAACGGUGGCGACAGUCCGGGUCGGGUCCGGGACAACUUUUCGGACGCGCACGCGAGGGGGUUUGAUGCACUGAGUAGAGAGGGUUUGGUAGGGUCUGACGGUGAGUAGAGGACUGUGCAGAAGGCCUCAGGCUGAGACAAGAGAAGAGAGAAAGGCCCGGCGACUGUUUCCGGAGACCGAAAACGUCCGAUGAUUUGACCGACUAUAUUGCCGCUAUAGUUUAAUGGUUGAGCUAUCAAACGAACUCCGGAUGCGAUGAAACUUGGCAGGCGGCCUAUCUACACCAUAAAAAGACCACACGCCAACUUUCAUCCCAUUCCGAGAACAUUUCCUGCCACUUAUAAAAUAAUAUUUCGGACAUGCCGCGGGCGCAUGCAAGUGUGUCUGGGCUCAGAGCGGACAACGGACGGAACGAGGAGACCGGGACGGAUGCAAGUUUCGAAAACAUGAUGAUGCAAUGCACAUGAUGACAUGACAAGAUGCAACACGCAAGCAAAAGACAUGGCAACAACAGCGAAUAACUGGACGACACCUGGCACACCGGUCUCGGGGCGUUACAGGAUGCCUUGGAAGGCAUCCCCUCUUUCGUCUUCGUUCAUCGGUAACUUUACUUGGAGCUAUAUUUUUAUUCGCCACAUGAUAUGUGUUUUAAUUGGAGUGUCAUUUUAUUUUCUUUAGUUUUUCUUGGGGUUUGAAUAAAAUACCAAGAUCUGAAAUUAUUAAAUGUUAGAGAGUCUUCUUAUAGUUGCAUAAUUGUUCAACUACUCAUUGAUCUUCAUUUAUAUCUUUCGGAGUAGUUUGUUGUUGCUCUAGUGCUUCACUUAUAUCCUUUUAGAGCACGGUGGUGGUUUUGUUUUAUAGAAACUAUUGAUCUCUCAUGCUUCACUUAGAUUAUUUUGAGAGUAUUAAAUAGCAUGGUAAUUUGCUUAAAUAAUCCUAAUAUUCUAGGUGUUCAAGAUUAAUAAAAAAAAUCUUAUGAGUGUUUUGAAUACUAAGAGAAGUUUGAUGCUUGAUGAUUGUUUUGAGAUAUGGAUGUAAUAAUAUCAAAUCGUGCUACUUGAGUAGUUGUGAAUUUGAGAAAUUCUUGUGUUGAAGUUUGCAAGUCCCGUAGCAUGCACGUAUGGUAAACAUUAUGUAACAAAUUUGAAACAUGAGGUGUUAUUUGAUUGUCUUCCUUAUGAGUGGCGGUCGGGGACGGGCGAUGGUCUUUUCCUACCAAUCUAUCCCCCUAGGAGCAUGCGUGUAGUGCUUGGUUUUUGAUGACUUGUAGAUUUUUUCAAUAAGUAUGUGAGUUCUUUAUGACUAAUGUUGAGUCCAUGGAUUAUAAGCACUCUCACCCUUCCAUCAUUGCUAGCCUCUUCGGUACCGUGCAUUGCCCUUUCUCACAUUGAGAGUUGGUGCAAACUUCGCCGGUGCAUCCAAACCCCGUGAUAUGAUACGCUCUUUCACACAUAAACCUCCUUAUAUCUUCCUCAAAACAGCCACCAUACCUACCUAUUAUGGCAUUUCCAUAGCCAUUCCGAGAUAUAUUGCCAUGCGACUUUCCACCAUUCUGUUUAUCAUGACACAUUCAUCAUUGUCAUAUUGCUUAGCAUGAUCAUGUAGUUGACAUAGUAUUUGUGGCAAAUCCACCGUUCAUAAUUCUUUCAAACAUGUCACUCUUGGUUCAUUGCAAAUCCCGAUACACCGUCGGAGGCAUUAAUAUAGAGUCAUCUUUUGUUCUAGCAUCGAGUUGUAAUCAUUGAGUUGUAAAUAAAUAUAAGUGUGAUGAUCAUCAUUUUCUAGAGCAUUGUCCCAAGUGAGGAAAUAAAUAAAUAAAUAAAAAAGAAGAGAAAGGCCAUAAAAAAGAGAAGGCCCAAAAAAAAGAAAGGCCAUAAAAAAGAGAAGGCCCCCAAAAAAGAAAGGCCAUAAAAAAGAAGAAGGUCCAAAAAAAGGAGAAAAAGAGAGAAGGGACACUGCUACUAUCCUUUUCCACACUUGUGCUUCAAAGUAGCACCAUGAUCCUCAUGAUAGAGUUUUGUCACUUUCAUAUACUAGUGGGAAUUUUUCAUUAUAGAACUUGGCUUGUAUGUUCCAACAAUGGGCCGCCUCAAGUGCCCUAGGUCUUCGUGAGCAAGCAAGUUGGAUGCACACCCACUUAGUUUCUUUUGUUGAGCUUUCAUACAUUUAUAGCUAUAGUGCAUCCGUUGCAUUGCAAUCCCUACUCCUUGCAUUAACAUCAAUCGAUGGGAAUCUCCAUAGCUCAUUGAUUAGCCUCGUUGAUGUGAGACUUUCUCCUUUUUGUCUUCUACACAUAACCCCCAUCAUCAUAUUCUAUUCCACCCAUAGUGCUAUGUCCAUGGCUCGCGCUCAUGUAUUGCGUGAAAGUUUAUAGGUUUGAGAUUACUAAAGUAUGAAACAAUUGCUUGGCUUGUCAUCGGGGUUGUGCAUGGUGAGAGCAUUCUUGUGUGACGAAAAUGGAGCAUGACUAAACUAUAUGAUUUUGUAGGGAUGAACUUUCUUUGGCCAUGUUAUUUUGAGAAGACAUAAUUGCUUUGUUAGUAUGCUUGAAGUAUUAUUAUUUUUAUGUCAAUAUGAACUUUUGUCUUGAAUCUUAUGGAUCUGAAUAUUCAUACCAUAAUUAAGAAGAAUUACAUUAAAAUUAUGCCAAGUAGCACUCCGCAACAAAAAUUCUGUUUUUAUCAUUUACCGACUCGAGGACGAGCAGGAAUUAAGAUUGGGGAUGCUGAUACAUCUCCAACGUAUCUAUAUUUUUUGAUUGCCCCAUGCUAUAUUAUCUUCUGUUUUGGAUGUUUAUGGGCUUUAUUAUACACUUUUAUAUUAUUUUUGGGACUAACCUAUUAACCCAGAGCCCAGUGCCAGUUUUUGUUUUUCCUUGUUUUGGAGUAUCACAGAAAAGAAAAUCAAAUGGAGUCCAAUUGACCUGAAACUUCACGGAACUUUUUUUUGGACCAGAAGCAACCCGGGAGACUUGGAGUCCACGUAAGUGAAGCAACGAGGAAGCCACGAGGCAGGGGGCGCGCCCUCCACACUCGUGGGCCCCGCGUGGCCCCCUGACGUACUUCUUCCGCCUAUAUAUCUCCAUAUACCCUAAAACGAUCGGGGAGCAUAAUAGAUCGGGAGUUCCGCCGCUAAAAGCCUCCGUAGCCACCGAAAGCCAAUCUAGACCCGUUCUGGCACCCUGCCGGAGGGGGCAAUCCCUCUCCGAUAGCCAUCUUCAUCAUCCCGGUGCUCUCCAUGACGAGGAGGGAGUAGUUCUCCCUCGGGGCUGAGGGUAUGUACCAGUAGCUAUGUGUUUGAUCUCUCUCUCUCUCUCUCGUGUUCUUGAGGUGAUACAGUCUUGAUGUAUCGCGAGCUUUACUAUUAUAGUUGGAUCUUAUGAUGUUUUCUCCCCCUUCUACUCUCUUGUAAUGGAUUGAGUUUUCCCUUUGAAGUUAUCUUAUCAGAUUGAGUCUUUAAAGAUUUGAGAACACUUGAUGUAUGUCUUGCCAUGCGUAUCUGUGGUGACAAUGGGAUAUCACGUGAUUCACUUGAUGUAUGUUUUGGUGACCAACUUGCGGGUUCCGCCCAUGAACCUAUGCAUAGGGGUUGGCACAUGUUUUCGUCUUGACUCUCCGGUAGAAACUUUGGGGCACUCUUUGAAGUACUUUGUGUUGGAUUGAAUGGAUGAAUCUGAGAUUGUGUGAUGCAUAUCAUAUAAUCAUACCCACGGAUACUUGAGGUGACAUUGGAGUAUCUAGGUGACAUUAGGGUUUUGAUUGAUUUGUGUCUUAAGGUGUUAUUCUAGUACGAACUCUAGGGCUGUUUGUGACACUUAUAGGAAUAGCCCAACGGAUUGAUUGGAAAGAAUAACUUUGAGGUGGUUUCGUCCUACCAUAAUAUCUUCGUUUGUUCUCCACUAUUAGUUACUUUGGAGUGACUCUUUGUUGCAUGUUGAGGGAUAGUUAUGUGAUCUAAUUAUGUUAUUAUUGUUGAGAGGAUUUGCACUAGUGAAAGUAUGAACCCUAGGCCUUGUUUCCUAGCAUUGCAAUACCGUUUACGCUCACUUUUAUCAUUAGUUACCUUGCUGUUUUUAUAUUUUCAUAUUACAAAAACUUAUAUCUACCAUCCAUAUUGCACUUGUAUCAACAUCUCUUCGCCGAACUAGUGCACCUAUACAAUUUACCAUUGAAUUGGGUGUGUUGGGGACAAAAGAGACUCUUUGUUAUUGGUUGCAGGGUUUCUUGAGAGAAACCAUCUUCAUCCUACGCCUCCUACGGAUUGAUAAACCUUAGGUCAUCCACUUUAGGGAAAUUUUCUAUUGUCCUACAAACCUCUGCACUUGGAGGCCCAACAACGUCUACAAGAACAAGGUUAUGUAGUAGACAUCAAGCUCUUUUCUGGUGCAGUUGCCGGGGAGGUUAGCGCUUGAAGGUAUAUCUUUAGAUCUUACAAUCGAGUCUUUUAGUUUCUUGUUUUAUCACUAGUUCAGUUUAUAAAAGAAAAUUACAAAAAAAAUGGAAUUGAGGGUACCUCAUACGCUUCAUAUUUUUAAUAUCUAUCAUGAGAAUAAGGAUUCCGAUAAUUGUGCUCAAGUGCUAGAAGAAGAAUGCAUUAGAAUGUUUGGCACUAAAUAUUUGAAUGAUGAACAUGAUUGCAAUGUUGUUAGUAUGAAUUCCUUGAAUAUCCAUGAUGCUAAUGAAAUGCAAAGCCACAAGCUUGUAGUAGACAUCAAUCUCCCCGGCAACGCUGCCAGAAAUCCUUCUUGCUUCCUCUUGAGCACUGCGUUGGUUUUCCCUUGAAGAGAAAAGGGUGAUGCAGCAAAGUAGCGUAAGUAUUUCCCUCAGUUUUUGAGAACCAAGGUAUCAAUCCAGUAGGAGACUACACGGAAGUCCCUCGUACCUACACAAACAAAUAAGAACCUCUCAACCAACGCGAUAAAGGGGUUGUCAAUCCCUUCACAGUCACUUACGAGAGUGAGGUUUGAUAGAGAUAAUAAUAAGAUAAAUAUUUUUGGUAUGUUUAUGAUAUAGAUUGGAAAAUAAAGAUUGCAAAAUAAAUGGUAAUAGAAAUAGCUUGUUGAUGGGAGAUUAAUAUAAAGGAGAAUAGACCCGGGGGCCAUAGGUUUCACUACUGGCUUUUCUCAAGAUAGCAUAAGUAUUACGGCGGGUGAACAAAAUACUGCCGAGCAAUUGAUAGAAAAGUGCAUAAUUAUGGGAAUAUCUAGGCAUGAUCAUGUAUAUAGACAUCACGUCCAAGACAAGUAGACCGAAACGAUUCUGCAUCUACUACUAUUACUCCACACAUCGACCGCUAUCCAGCAUGCAUCUAAAGUAUUAAGUUCAUAAGAACAGAGUAAUGCAUUAGGCAAGAUGACAUGAUGUAGAGGGAUAAACUCAAGCAAUAUGAUAUAAACCCCAUCUUUUUAUCCUUGAUGGCAACAAUACAAUACGUGCCUUGCUGCCCCUACUGUCACUGAGAAAGGACACCGCAAGAUUGAACCCAAAGCUAAGCACUUGUCCCAUUGCAAUAAAGAUCAAUGUAGUAGGCCAAACCAAACUGAUAAUUCGAAGAGACUUGCAAAGAUAACCAAUCAUACAUAAAAGAUUCCAGAGAAGAAUCAAAUAUUGUUCAUAGAUAAACUUGAUUAUAAACCCACAAUUCAUCGGAUGUCGACAAACACACCGCAAAAAGAGUUACAUCAAAUAGAUCUCCAAGAAGAUCGAGGAGAACAUUGUAUUGAGAUCCAAAUAGAGAGAAGAAGCCAUCUAGCUAAUAACUAUGGACCCGAAGGUCUGAAGUAAACUACUCACACAUCAUCGGAGAGGCUAUGGUGUUGAUUUAGAAGCCCUCCGUGAUUGAUUCCCCCUCCGGCAGAGCUCCGGGAAAGGCCCCAAGAUGGGAUCUCUUGGGUACAGAAGGUUGCGGCGGUGGAAAUAGGGUUUCGUGGUGCUCCUGGAUGUCUUCGGGGUAUAUGGAUAUAUAUAGGAGGAAGAAGUAGGUCGGUGGAGCCACGAGGGGCCCACGAGGGUGGAGGGCGCGCCCCCUACCUCGUGGCCUCCUUGUUUGUUUCUUGACGUCCACUCCAAGUCCCCUGGAUCACGUUUGUUCCAAAAAUAACUCUCCUGAAGGUUUCAUUCCGUUUGGAUUCCGUUUGAUAUUCUUUUUCUGCAAAACACUGAAAUAGGCAAAAAACAGCAAUUUGCACAGGGCCUUGGGUUAGUAGGUUAGUCCCAAAAAUAAUAUAUAAGUGUAAAAAUAAGCCCAUUGACAUCCAAAACAGAUAAUAUAAUAGCAUGGAACAAGAAAAAAUUAUAGAUACGUUGGAGACGUGUCACAUACUGAUACGUCUCCAACAUAUCUAUAAUUUUGAUUGCUCCAUGCUAUUAUAUUAUCUAUUUUGGAUGUUAAUGGGCUUUAUUUUACACUUCUAUAUCAUUUUUGGGACUAACCUACCAACCAAAGGCCCAGCCCAAAUUACUGCUUUUUUUGCCUAUUUUAGGGUUUCGUCGAAAAGGAAUAUCAAACAGAGUCCAAACGGAGUGAAACCUUCGGGAACGUGAUUUUCUCAACAAACGUGAUCCAGGAGACUUGGAGUGGGCGUCAAGAAACAAGGGAGGAAGGCAGGAGGCAGGGGCGCUCCUACCCCCCUGGGCGCGCCCUCCACCCUAGUGGGCCCUCCGUUGCUCCACGGUCGUACUUCUUCCUCCUAUAUAAGUCCACGUACACCCCCAAACAUCCAGGAGCACCACGAAAACCUAAUUCCAUGGCCACAACCUUCUGUACCCGAGAGAUCCCAUCUUGGGGCCUUUUUCGGAGCUCCGCCGGAGGGGGCAUUGAUCAUGGAGGGCCUCUACAUCAACUCCAUGGCCUCUCCGGUGAUGUGUGAGUAGUUUAUUUCAGACCUACGGGUCCAUAUUUAUUAGCUAGAUGGCUUCUUCUCUCUAUUUGGAUCUCAAUACAAAGUUCUCCUCGAUUCUCUUGGAGAUCUAUUCGAUAUAAUCUUCUUUUGCGGUGUGUUUGUCAAGAUCCAAUGAAUUGUGGGUUUAUGAUCCAGAUUAUCUAUGAACAAUAUUUGAUUCUCCUCUGAAUUCUUUUAUGUAUGAUUGGUUUAUCUUUGCAAGUCUCUUCGAAUUAUCAGUUUGGUUUGGCCUACUAGUUUGAUCUUUCUUGCAAUUGGAGAAGUGCUUAGCUUUGGGUUCAAUCUUGCGGUGCUCGAUCCCAUUGACAGAAAGGGAACCGACACGUAUUGUAUUGUUGCCAUCGAGGAUAAAAAGAUGAGGUUUAUAUCAUAUUGCAUGAAUUUAUCCCUCUACAUCAUGUCAUCUUCCUUAAAGCAUUACUCUGUUCUUAUGAACUUAAUACUCUAGAUGCAUGUUGGAUAGCGGUCGAUGUGUGGAGUAAUAGUAGUAGAUGCAGAAUCGUUUCGGUCUACUUGUCUCGGACGUGAUGCCUAUAUACAUGAUCAUACCUAGAUAUUCUCAUAACUAUGCUCGAUUCUAUCAAUUGCUCGACAGUAAUUCGUUUACCCACCGUAAUACUUAUGCUCUUGAGAGAAGCCACUAGUGAAACCUAUGGCCCCCGGGUCUAUCUUUCAUUAUAUUAAUCUUCCAAUACUUAGUUAUUUCUUUUGCCUUUUAUUUUACUUUGCAUCUUUAUCACAAAAAUACCAAAAAUAUUAUCUUAUCAUAUCUAUCAGAUCUCAUUCUCGUAAGUGACCGUGAAGGGCUUGACAACCCCUUUAUCGCAUUGGUUGCAAGGUUCUUAUUUGUUUUUGUAGGUGCGUGGGACUUGAGAGUGAUCUGCUACUGGAUUGAUACCUUGGUUCUCAAAACUGAGAGAAAUACUUACGCUACUUUGCUGCAUCACCCUUUCCUCUUCAAGGGAAAACCAAUGCAGUGCUCAAGAGGUAGCAAGAAGGAUUUUUGGCGCCGUUGCUGGGGAGAUUCGCGCCAAGUCAAGUCAAGAUUUGACUUCCAACAACAAGUCAUUUUAGGUGCCGUUGCUAAGUCAAGACAUACCAAGUACCCAUCACAAACCCUUAUCCCUCGCAUUAUUUGCCAUUUGCCUCUCGUUUUCCUCUCCCCCACUUCACCUUUGCCGAUUUAUUCGCCCUCUCUCGCCGUUCCUCUUCUCUUUCCCUAUUUUGCCUUUUUUUUGCCUGUUUCUUGUUUGCUUGUGUGUUGGAUUGCUUGCUUGUCACGAUGGCUCAAGAUAAUACUAAAUUGUGUGACUUUACCAAUACCAUCAACAAUGAUUUUCUUAGCACUCCGAUUGCUCCUCUUGCCGAUGCUGAAUCUUGUGAAAUUAAUGCUGCUUUGUUGAAUCUUGUCAUGAAAGAUCAAUUUGCCGGUCUUCCUAGUGAAGAUGCCGCUACCCAUCUGAAUAGCUUUGUUGAUUUGUGUGAUAUGCAAAAGAAGAAAGAUGUGGACAAUGAUAUUGUUAAAUUGAAGCUAUUUCCGUUUUCGCUUAGAGAUCGUGCUAAAGCUUGGUUUUCAUCUUUGCCUAGAAACGAUAUUAUGAAUUUUAAGCAACUUGAUCAUGAACAUGUUGCAAAAUCUUGGGAGAGGAUGAAAUUAAUGAUACAUAAUUGCCCUACACAUGAUUUGAAUCUUUGGAUGAUUAUACAGAAUUUUUAUGCCGGAUUGAAUUUUGCUUCUAGAAAUCUUUUAGAUUCGGCUGCGGGAGGCACUUUUAUGUAAAUCACUUUAGGAUAAGCUACCAAACUCCUAGAUAAUAUUAUGGUUAAUUAUUCUCAAUGGCACACCGAAAGAUCUACUAGUAAAAAAGUGCAUGCAAUUGAAGAAAUUAAUGUUUUAAGUGGAAAGAUGGAUGAACUUAUAAAAUUGUUUGCUAAUAAGAGUGCUCCUACUAAUCCUAAUGAUAUGCCUUUAUCUACUUUGAUUGAGAAUAAUAAUGAAUCUAUGGAUGUGAAUUUUCUUGGUAGGAACAAUUUUGGCAAUAACGUGUAUAGAGGUAAUUUUAAUCCUAGGUCGUUUCCUAGUAAGUCCUCUAAUAAUUAUGGUAAUUCAUACAACAAUUCUUAUGGAAAUUAUAAUAAGAUGCCCUCUGAUUUUUAAUCUAAUAUUAAAUAAUUUAUUACUUCGCAAAAGAGUUUCAAUGCUUUGUUUGAAGAAAAAUUGCUUAAGGUUGAUGAGUUGGCUAGGAACGUCGAUAGAAGUUCUCUUGAUGUUGAUUCUUUGAAAUUUAGAUCUAUUCCACCUAAGGAUGAUAUCAAUGAGUCUCUCAAAGCCAUGAGAAUUUCCAUUGAUGAGUUCAAAGAAAGAACCGCUAGGAUGCGUGCGAAGAACGAUUGCUUUGUGAAAGCGUGUUCUUCUAGUUUUAAUGAUAAUAAGGAUGAAGAUAUAAAAGUGAUUGAUGUGUCCCCUAUUAAAUAUUUGUUUUGCAAUAUGAAUCUUGAUAAUGAUGGGAUUGAAGAUGAUCCACCUUUACCUAGAAGGCGUUCCAAAAAUUCGGAGUUUUUAGAUCUUGAUGCUAAAAUUGUUAAAAGUGGGAUUGAAGAGGUUAAAACUUUAAAUAUCAAUGAACCCACUAUUUUGGAUUUCAAGGAAUUUAAUUAUGAUAAUUUCUCUUUGAUAGAUUGUAUUUCCUUGUUGCAAUCCGUGCUAAAUUCUCCUCAUGCUUACAGUCAAAAUAAAGCUUUUACUAAACAUAUCGUUGAUGCUUUGAUGCAAUCUUAUGAAGAAAAACUUGAGUUCGAAGUUUCUAUCCCUAGAAAACUUUAUGAUGAGUGGGAACCUAUAAUAAAAAUUAAAAUUAAAGAUCAUGAGUGCUAUGCUUUGUGUGAUUUGGGUGCUAGUGUUUCCACGAUUCCAAAAACUUUGUGUGAUUUGCUAGGUUUCCGUUAUUUUGAUGAUUGUUCUUUCAACUUGCACCUUGCGGAUUCCACUAUUAAGAAACCUAUGGGAAGAAUUAAUGAUGUUCUUAUUAUUGCAAAUAGGAAUUAUGCGCCCGUAGAUUCCAUUGUUCUUGAUAUAGAUUGCAAUCCUUCAUGUCCUAUUAUUCUUGGUAGACCUUUCCUUAGAACGAUUGGUGCAAUUAUUGAUAUGAAUGAAGGGAAUAUCAAAUUCCAAUUUCCAUUAAAUAAUGGCAUGGAACACUUCCAUAGAAAUUAAAUUAAAUUACCAUAUGAAUCUAUUAUGAGAGACACUUAUGGAUUACCUACCAAAGAUGGCAAUACCUUGAUCUAUCUUCGCUUUUAUGCCUAGCUAGGGGCGUUAAACGAUAGCGCUUGUUGGGAGGCAACACAAUUUUAUUUUUAUUCCUUGAUUUUUGCUCCUGUUUAGUAAUAAAAAAUUUAUCUAUCCUCUAUUUUGGUUGUGUUUUUUGUGUUUAAUUAGUGUUUGUGCCAAGUAGAACCGUUGGGAAGACUUGGGGAAAGUCUUUUUGAUCUUGCUGUAAAAAACAGAAACUUUAGCGCUCACAAGAACUGCUGCCAUUUUUAUUUGGAAAGUGCUAUUUAGUUAAUUCUUUUGAAGAUGAUUAAUAGAUAAAUUCCUCACGUCCAGAAAUUUAUUUUAGAAUUUUUGGGGUUCCAUAGUGUAGCGACCCGACCCAAAUGGAUCAAGUCUCUGUGCUUAGGUGCCAUCCCUGGAUCAGUAUGCUGACACACAUAGUACUCGAAGGAUUUAUAACAGAGGUAAAUCACAUGUAUAAAGUAACAUAAAUACUAUUACCUCAAUCCAUAUAGCGGAAGCAACAAGGUUGUGGUUUCCCAUCAACACCAACGGCAAAGUUGAGUGUAGAAAUCGUAACCCUAACGUAUCACUUACUCGUCAUAAGAAACCUGCAACAUAAGACGUUGCAGCCCGAAACGGGUCAGUACAUUGAAUGUACUGGCAAAUUCACACCAUAGAGAAUGAUGAACAAUGGCUAUCACUAUAUGCAUAUUUGGCUGGUGGAAAAGCUCUAUGGUUAUAAGGUUUUUGCGUAAAGCCAAUUUUUCCCUACUGCAAAGGAAUAAAUUUAUUUAACUACCAUGGUGGUUGUGAAACAUUGAGAAUGGUUGACAGCAUUCUCAAUCCCAAUUAAAAAUAAUUAAAACCCAACAACAUUAAUUAGAAGUAACAUGUUGAGAUUCACAUGAUAUUCAAGUACUAGAUACUCAAGUUGUCCAUAACCGGGGACACGGCUAAUCAUGAUUAGUUUGUACACUCUGCAGAGGUUUGCGCACUUUUCCCCACAAGACUCGAUCGCCUCCGUUUGGUUUCUUGCACUACAUGGUGUUUGAGAAGACGGAUGACCGAGACAUAGUCUUUCAGAAGCGCUAGCACCUUACAUGUGGGUAGACCGGUACACCUACUUUCCCCUACAUCUGCUAGUCUACCCGUAAGAGUUCACACAACUUAAUCAACUAUGCCAGAGCCCAUAAUGGCUUGUGGCUGCACACGGAAGUUUCUAGCAUGAAAGAUCUUAUGAUCCCUUUGAGCCUGGGUGGCGGUCCAAAAUAAAACAGGCAAGUCCUGAUAGACAUCAGGUGCCUCAAUCCACCCAGAUGUGUGUUUAAGUUGCCACCUUAGAUAAACCAUUAAAAUUAUCAACUCACAUCUGUCAUGGAUAUCACUCACCCAAUCCACGUCUACUAGCAUAGCAUGGCAUAAUAAGCAAACGUAGAAGUAACUCCCAAAGGUUUCAUAAUAAUACAGGUGAUAGGUACUACCUCAUCUACUUCCCAUCCCACAAUUUAAUUAGAUCCUAAUCAUGCAAUGUGUGAGGAUUGAUCUAAUGCAAUAAAACUGGGUUGUAGAAAAGGUAUGAUCAAAGUGUGAACUUGCCUGCAAUGUAGAUGAAGAUGAUUCUCACUUAAAACUCUUGAGAGAUCUACUCGUCACACUCCGGUCAAUCUAUCGUAAGCAAACAAUAGUAACCACACAAUAAGUACUCAUCUAAUGCACAAGUAAAACUCGAACGAGAGAAACGAACCAGAAUGUUCAAUUUAAGAACUCCGGUUGCAAAGAAAGAACGAACCGAACAAAGAAACGGAAAACAAACAGCGGAAGAAAACAACUCGGUUCUGGCAAGUUGAAUCUAGGUCAAAUUUUACCGGGGCAAAAACUUGUUUAAGUUGAUUAGACGGAACGGCGGUUUCGAAACGAAACUCCAGGCGCUUGAAUCACCUGAUUCCGAUAAACGAGCGAGAGGAUAAACUAGAACGAAGAUCGGAUCUGAGAUCGCGAUCACGGAAUAAAUCCGACGAAAAGAAAGAGACGAACGGUUAAACGAACGGGCAUCGUUAACCGGGAAUAAUUGGUGAUCACGUUCGUUGAGACGAACGGUCCGAAAGAAGAACGAAAACCGAGCUAGGGUUUUCGGAAAAGAAACCGAAAAAGAAAACGGAAAACUGAUCUAGGGUUUCGGAAUAGAAACCGAAAAAGAAAACGGAAAACCGAUCUAGGGUUUCGGAAAAGAAACCGUAACGAAGAAUCGGAGAGAAAAACCGGAAAAUAAAAACCGGAACGGUUUCCUUUAAAAGAACCGAACCGCGGGGAAGAAAAAGAGAGGCGCGGGGCUACCUCCGGCGAGGCGGGGCGAACGGUGGCGACGGCGGCGUGCUAGGGUGGCGGCGGCGCUAUAGGGGCGGUGGCGGCGGGUGAGGGGCGCGGGGCGGCGGGUGAGGGGCGCGGGGUGGGGCGCGGCUUGGGGAGGAGAGGGGGUUUGGGUUUUUGGUGUGAGGAGAGGGGGGGUCUAUGGGGGUAUUUAUAUAGGUGUGGGGAGAGAUUACUUGGGGUAGGGGACAAGAAAUAGACUAGGAAAUAGGAAAAAGAAAACGAAACAAAGGAAAGAGGGGGCUACCGGCCAGAGUCCAAGCCGGACUCGGCUUAGAGCGAGGCGGCGGCGCUGCCUGCCUGGCGCUGGCGCGCGGGAGGCUGGGGUGGCCGGCUGGCUGGGCCUUUGGCCCGGCUGGCCUGGCGGGAUUCCUUCUUUUUUUUAAACUGGUUCCGCGCGCAGAGAAAAAAACAAAAAGAGAACUAAACGAACUCCGAAAAAUCUAAAGUAAAUUUUCCCCGACUCCUAAAAAUGAGCCGAACAAAAUGAACUUUUCUCCGCACCUAAAAUGCAAUUUUUGAAAACACGCAUUUUUCCCUAUCCAAAUAAAAUGCGAAUAAACACCGGAAAACAAAAUUUGAUCUAUUUAUUAAAUCUUCAUUUUUCCUCAAUUUGGAAAAGUCAUAUUAUUCCCUCUCUUAUAUAUUUUUUUGAUAUCGGAAAAUAAUUGAAGAUGAAAUAAAUAAAUCAAAUGAUCCUCUUUUCAAAUUCGAGAAAACUCUCAAAUAUGAAAAUAACGAAAUCUCCAACUCUCUCCGAAGGUCCUUGAGUUGCGUGAAAUUUCUAGGAUCGACCAAAAUGCAAAAUAAGGUAUGCAUGAUGAUCUAAUGUAUAACAUUCCAAAUUGAAAAUUUGGGAUGUUACACAUAGUGUGCGUUAGCUACAGAUUACUACAGACUGUUCUGUUUUUGACAGAUUCUGUUUUUCAUGUGUUGUUUGCUUAUUUUGAUGAAUCUAUGGCUAGUAAAAGAGUUUAUAAACCAUAGAGAAGUUGAAAUACAGUAGGUUUAACACCAAUAUAAAUAAAUAAUGAGUUCAUUACAGUACCUUGAAGUGGUGUUUUGUUUUCUUUCGCUAACAGAGCUCACGAGAUUUUCUAUUUUGAGUUUUGUGUUGUGAAGUUUUCAAGUUUUGGGUAAAGAUUUGAUGGAUUAUGGAACAAGGAGUGGCAAGAGCCUAAGCUUGGGGAUUCCCAUGGCACCCAAAGGUGAAAUUCAAGGACACCAAAAAUCCUAAGCUUGGGGAUGCCCCGGAAGGCAUCCCCUCUUUCGUCUUCGUCUAUCGGGAACUUUACUUGGAGCUAUAUUUUUAUUCACCACAUGACAUACGUUUCGCUUGGAGCGUCUUGUAUGAUUUGAGUCUUUUAUUUUUAGUUUACCACAAUCAUCCUUGCUGUACACACCUUUUGAUAGAGACUCACAUAAUUUGAAAUUUAUUAGAAUACUCUAUGUGCUUCACUUGUAUCUUUUGAGCUAUAUAGUUUAUGCUCUAGUGCUUCACUUAUAUCUUUUAGAGCACAGUGGUGGAUUUGUUUUAUAGAAACUACUGUUCUCUCAUGCUUCACUUAUAUUAUUUUGAGAGUCCUUUAGAACAACAUGGAAAUUUGCUAUAAUAUAAAAACUUCCAUAGAAGUUCAUUGAAUACUAUGAGAAGUUUGAUACUUGAUAAUUGUUUUGAGAUAUGGAGAUGGUGAUAUUAGAGUCAUGCUAGUUGAGUAGUUGCAAAUUUGAGAAAUACUUGUGUUAAAGUUUGUGAUUCCCGUAGCAUGCACGUAUGGUGAACCGUUAUGUGAUGACGUCGGAGCAUGAUUUAUUUAUUGAUUGUCUUCCUUAUGAGUGGCGAUCAGGGACGAGCGAUGGUCUUUUCCUACCAAUCUACCCACCUAGGAGCAUGUGUGUAAUACUUUGUUUUGAUAACUAAUAGAUUUUUGCAAUAAGUAUGUGAGUUCUUUAUGACUAACGUUGAGUCCAUGGAUUAUACGCACUCUCACCCUCCCACCAUUGCUAGCCUCUCUAGUAUCGUGCAACUUUUGCCGGUACCAUAAACCCACUAUAUACCUUCCUCAAAACAGCCACCAUACCUACCUAUUAUGGCAUUUCCAUAGCCAUUCCGAGAUAUAUUGCCAUGCAACUUUCCACCGUUCCGUUAUUAUGACACACUUCAUCAUUGUCAUAUUGCUUGCAUGAUCAUGUAGUUGACAUCAUAUUUGUGGCAAAGCCACCAUUCACAAUUCUUCAUACAUGUCACUCAUGCAUCAUUGCACAUCCCGGUACACCACCAGAGGCAUUCACAGAGAGUCAUAUUUUGUUCUAAGUAUUGAGUUGUAAUUCUUGAGUUGUAAGUGAAUAAAGUGUGAUGAUCAUCAUUAUUAGAGCAUUGUCCCAAGUGGGGAAAGGAUGAUGGAGACUAUGAUUCCCCCACAAGUCGGGAUGAGACUCCAGACUAAAAAAAGAAAAGAGGCAAAAAAAGAAGGCCCAAAUAAAAAAUGAGAGAAAAAGAGAGAAGGGACAAUGCUGCUAUCCUUUUUCCACACUUGUGCUUCAAAGUAGCACCAUGAUCUUCAUGAUAGAGAGUCUCCUAUGUUAUCACUUUCAUAUACUAGUGGGAAUUUUUCAUUAUAGAACUUGGCUUGUAUAUUCCAGUGAUGGGCUUCCUCAAAAUGCCCUAGGUCUUCAUGAGCAAGCAAGUUGGAUGCACACCCACUUAGUUUCAUUUGUUGAGCUUUCAUAUACUUAUAGAUCUAGUGCAUCCGUUGCAUGGCAAUCCCUACUCACUCACAUUGAUAUCUAUUAAUGGUGGGCAUCUCCAUAGCAAAUUGAUAUGCCUAGUUGAUGUGAGACUAUCUUCUCCUUUUUGUCUUCUCCACAACCACCAUUCUAUUCCACAUAUAGUGCUAUAUCCAUGGAUCACGCUCAUGUAUUGUGUGAAGAUUGAAAAAGUUUGAGAACAUCAAAAGUAUGAAACAAUUGCUUGGCUUGUCAUCGGGGUUGUGCAUGAUUUAAAUAUUUUGUGUGGUGAAGAUAGAGCAUAGCCAGACUAUAUGAUUUUGUAGGGAUAACUUUCUUUGGCCAUGUUAUUUUGAGAAGACAUAAUUGCUUAGUUAGUAUGCUUGAAGUAUUAUUAUUUCUAUGUCAAUUUUAAACUUUUAUCUUGAAUCUUUCGGAUCUGAACAUUAAUGCCACAAUAAAGAAAAAAUACAUUGAGAAAUAUAUUAGAAAGCAUUCCACAUCAAAAAUUCUUCUUUUAUCAUUUACCUACUUGAGGACGAGUAAGAAUUAAGCUUGGGGAUGCUUGAUACAUCUCCAACGUAUCUAUAAUUUUUGAUUGCUCCAUGCUCUUAUAUUAUCUAUUUUGGAUGUCAAUGGGCUUUAUUUUACACUUUUAUAUCAUUUUUGGGACUAACCUACUAACCAGAAGCCCAACCCAAAUUGAUGUUUUUUUGCCUAUUUUAGGGUUUCGUCGAAAAGGAUAUCAAACGGAGUCCAAAAGAAAUGAAACCUUUGGGAACGUGAUUUUCUCAACAAACAUGAUCCAGNNNNNNNNNNNNNNNNNNNNNNNNNNNNNNNNNNNNNNNNNNNNNNNNNNNNNNNNNNNNNNNNNNNNNNNNNNNNNNNNNNNNNNNNNNNNNNNNNNNNNNNNNNNNNNNNNNNNNNNNNNNNNNNNNNNNNNNNNNNNNNNNNNNNNNNNNNNNNNNNNNNNNNNNNNNNNNNNNNNNNNNNNNNNNNNNNNNNNNNNNNNNNNNNNNNNNNNNNNNNNNNNNNNNNNNNNNNNNNNNNNNNNNNNNNNNNNNNNNNNNNNNNNNACAAGUCCACGUACCCCCCAAACAUCCAGGAGCACCACGAAAACCUAAUUCCACCGCCACAACCUUAUGUACCUGAGAGAUCCCAUCUUGGGGCCUUUUCCGGAGCUCCGCCGGAGGGGGCAUUGAUCAUGGAGGGCCUCUACAUCAACUCCAUGGCCUCUCCGGUGAUGCGUGAGUAGUUUAUUUCAUACCUACGGGUCCAUAGUUAUUAGCUAGAUGGCUUAUUGUCUUUGUUUGGAUCUCAAUACAAAGUUCUCCUCGAUUCUCUUGGAGAUCUAUUCGAUGUAAUCUUCUUUUGCGGUGUGUUUGUCGAGAUCAGAUGAAUUGUGGGUUCAUGAUCCAAAUUAUCUAUGAACAAUAUUUAAUUCUCCUCUGAAUUAUUUUAUGUAUGAUUGGUUUAUAUUUGCUAGUCUCUUCGAAUUAUCAGUUUGGUUUGGCCUACUAGAUUGAUCUUUCUUGCAAUUGGACUAUGGGAGAAGUGCUUAGCUUUGGGUUCAAUCUUGCGGUGCUCGAUCCCAGUGACAAAAAGGGAACCGACACAUAUUGUAUUGUUGCCAUCAAGGAUAAAAAGAUGGGGUUUAUAUCAUAUUGCAUGAAUUUAUCCCUCUACAUCAUGUCAUCUUCCUUAAAGCAUUACUCUGUUCUUAUGAACUUAAUACUCUAGAUGCAUGUUGGAUAGCAGUCGAUGUGUGGAGUAAUAGUAGUAGAUGCAGAAUCGUUUCAGUCUACUUGUCUCGGACGUGAUGCCGAUAUACAUGAUCGUACCUAGAUAUUCUCAUAACUAUGCUCGAUUCUAUUAAUUGCUCGAUAGUAAUUCGUUUACCCACCGUAAUACUUAUGCUCUUGAGAGAAGCCACUAGUGAAAUCUAUGGCCCCCGGGUCUAUCUUUCAUCAUAUUAAUCUUCCAAUACUUAUUUAUUUCUUUUGCCUUUUAUUUUUCUUUGCAUCUUUAUCAUAAAAAUACGAAAAAUAUUAUCUUAUCAUGUCUAUCAGAUCUCACUCUCGUAAGUGACCAUGAAGGGCUUGACAACCCCUUUAUCGCGUUGGUUGUGAGGUUCUUAUUUGUUUAUGUAGGUGCCUGGGACUUGAGCGUGAUCUCCUACUGGAUUGAUACCUUGGUUCUCAAAAACUGAGGGAAAUACUUACGCUACUUUGUUGCAUCAGCCUUUCCUCUUCAAGGGAAAAACCAACAGAGUGCUCAAGAGGUAGCACAUACCACGAGAGGUCGACGCGUGGGGAUGGCGGUGGACCAUGGGCCGCAGCGCUACAGCCCGAAGGGGCGAUGCAGCAGCGGCAGCAGGAGGGAAGGGGCGACGGUGGGAAGACCUUAGGGCGGCAGCAGGGACCGCGGGCCACGGCGCUAUAGCCCGAAGGGGCGGCACAGCGGCGGAGCGCGGGUCGAUGCAACCAUAGGGACGGCCUCGGGCGGUGGGGGGACCACAUAGCACUACGGCCUGAAGGGGCGACGCGCGAGUCGAUGCAACCGUGAGGAGAAUUGUGGGGCGGUGUCGCGUCGGCCCGACGGGGCGAUGCAGCGGCAUCCCGUUGCUCAAUCGGUGGAGGGGCGCGCUGAACUUGAGGAUGAUAUUCACAGGACCUUCGGAUGCAUGCGCAACCCACGGGCCAGGUCGGUCACGCGGUGUAUAUGAGGCGGAUAGCGGCGAAGAGCCAGUGAUCAACCGAUCGCGCGUGAGGUCGGGGACACCGCUCGGUUGAGGCGGGGUGGCGACGGAGUCCAAGAUGAGCCCGAUAAUGACGGACAUCGUGGGGCAUCAUGCGGACGAGCGUGUCAGCACUGGCACCUAGGCUGGCAUAGUAGCGCCGACGCCCGGCCAGUGAGGCUCGAGCGACCAACGAAGCAGCGGCGCCUGAGCUCAAGGUAGCCGACCAGCCUGACGCAGCCGGUCCGACGCAGCUGGGGACGAGGCCGGCGAGGAACACUGCAGGGCUGUCGUGUAGACGAGGUGGCGACGGGUGGCGAUGGACGGCGUGGAUCGACGGGCAGGCCAGUGUGCGAACGGCGGCCGUGAUGGACCGCCGCAUCGUGUGAGGCCACUGGGUUGGGGCGAUGCAGGAGACCUAUCGGAGUAGGGCGGCAACAGCCGGCGCAAGGCGACGGGCGGGCCGAUGCAUGGACGGCGGGUGGCCCUGACGGGCCGCCUCGGCACGCGUGACCGUCGGGUCGGAGGAGAGGCCGGCCGGUCGCGCCGGGGUCGGAGUAGAGGCGCGUUGGUGUCGACGGCGGUGGCGGCGGCGGGCGACGCAAACCGAUCAAGCAUAGAUCGAAAAACCAAAAUGAAAACGCCAAUCAAAACGACCGGCGAGAGAGAGAGAGAGAGAGAGAGAAAUCCGGAGCAAUGGCUCGGGAAAAAGACUCUCUAGGUUAGCCGGUCAACAUGACCGGCGGAUGAACCCUUGGUACGGGUGGCGCAGCCCCCAGCGGCGCUCAUGGAGGCCGACCGCCCCGGGGUGGUGUAAUACCCUGGUUUUUGGCCCUUUCUUUUUCUAUUGAUUUAUUUGGGUUUUGUUCCGUUUUUCUUUUUGGAGCAGUUCUUUGGACUUGAAACCUGGGAGAUCAUCAUCUUUUCUUCUCUCGAGUGGCUCAUCAUUCUCAAAUCUUUCCCAAUACCAUGUCAUUUCCAUUCUAGCCCAACCCCAAAAUUAUUUUCUAAGGAACAUUUCUUUUUCUAUUAAUAGAAUAAUCCUAUUUUCCCUAGGUUGUGAAGCAACCUAUAUUUCUGUCACUCCCAAAAUUUCCAAAUAAUUCUCAUAAUUUCGUUGGGUCAUAUAUUGCACAAAUAUGCCCAAACUUUCCUUUCCUAGCCCAAAAAUAAUUCCCCGAUAUUAUUUCUUCAUUUCUGUUCAUAGUGGCUUUCUGUGAAGGAAGUGCCACCUAUCUUUUCUUUCUUGCACCCAAACUUUUUGGCAUGCUCUUUCAUCAAAAUAAUUGCCUCAUGCCAAAAUUCAACUUCAUUUACCUAGCCAAUCUUCCUCGGGAAUUUUUCCAAGUUUUUGUCACAUAGAAGCUAUUGUGAAGGAAGUACUAGCUAGGGUUAUCAAAACGAGUUGAAACUUUGCAUCCUUCUUCAUGUGCUCAUAUUAUCACACUCUACCAAUUUUCAGCUCCAUCCCUUGAUCUAUGUGAGCACAUGAUCAAAUCUUUGAUUCUGUUAAUAUUUUUAGGUUGUGAAGCAAGUAUAUUCUAUAUUGCUUCAUUAAUUCUGAGAAAUUACCAGAUCAUGCUCCUACCAAUAUCCCUUCUCUCCAAAACUAUCUCAAGUUUCUGGACAGAGAGGAUAGCUCUGAAGGAAAUACCAUUUUGCAAGUCUAAAUGGUAUGAAAUUUUUACGGCAUCUUUAUAUGUCUAAAUCAUCAUGAUCUACCAAAUUUCAGCCUAACCCAAUGCACCAUGUGAGAGCAUCAUCCUAUUCUCUUUUCUGGACCUAAAUUGCAGUUGAAAAGCAACUGUGUUAAUUUGUGCUCCGUUUCUUGUCUAACUCCACAGGAUGAUAGUCCUCCCUAUGCUAAACACCCUAGACAUCAUCUUUGGCCCUUAGCUUCUCCUUGUUGAUCACAGUAACAUGAUCAAGUUUGCUACAACAAACUUUCAUCGAAUCCUCACAUCUCUCCUUGGCUCCUUCUCUUGAUAUUUCACCUCUGGGCUACCUUGGGGAGCAAGGACUAGCCACCAGACAAGGUUUUCCAGCCCCUCUUGUCCUCUCCUUGCCAUGCCAGGUGGUGACCACGCGGUUUGGCACCUGUGCACGCACUCUGCAGGUCGAGUCCGCGUCCAGAGCGCUAUUUUGCUCGAGUCACUUCGCCUCUGGUCGUCUUCGUGCGCGUGAGCAUGUCUAGCAGUUUCCUCGUGGCAUUGUCUUCGCUCUAGAAGCCUCCCUCCUCCGGCACCUUCCUUGUCGACGCUAGCCGCCGCGUGCACAUGGGCGAACAGUGCCCCGACCGGCUCUGUUCGUCGCUCGUCCUCUUCCUUCCCUGCGCUCUCCCAUCCUCUCCCUCGCUCCCGUGACACUCCCAGCCAUCGCCAGAGCAGGCCCAUGUGCCCAUGGUGGCACCCGAGCUCUGGACCCUUCGCCCUGCCUAUUUAAGCCACCACGGAGCUCGUUUCUCUUUGCCCCUCCACCUCUCUGCAUCCCAAUCACUCUCUGGAGUCCAACAGCGAGGCCAGCGAGCCCUCUUCCUCCUCUCCGGCGAGGUGCCUCUCCACGUGGCCUCUGCUCUGGCCCAACUCCUCCAGUGCAUCUCCACUCGAGCACCACUACCAUCGAGUUCCUCUUCCUCCAUUGAUCCUCCUCGACCACUUCCUCGGCCCAAUCAUCGCCGGGAUCGUCGACUUCGCCGGUGCCUGAAGCAUGCGGUCGCCGGAGAUGAAGGGGACGAUGUCGUCCGGCCACCUCCCGAGGAGCUGCGGGUACGGGCGUGACCGCCGUCGAGCGCCCGAUCCAUCCCCACAUUCGCCCAGCUCCACCGUGGACUCUACGCCGGCCAUUCAUCAUCGGUGAGCCGCCUCGCCUCUGUCUGUCUAUCUGUCUCUCUCUCAUUAUAAACCUGCUAGGAGGGCCCCACUCAUCCAUCUCUCAUCCCCCUACCGAACUACUCCCUCUGUCCCAGAAUAUAAGAACGUUUUUGACACUAUGCUACUGUUAAAAACGUUCUUAUAUUUUGGGGCGGAGGGAGUAUUUUCUAAGUGGAGGCGUAAGCCCACUUUACGCCUUCGACGUCACCCCCUGGGGAUUUUCUGAAAUUCUAUUUAAAUCAAUUUAAAUCCAGAUUUGAUUCAACUUUGACCAUGAAUAACUCCUAAACUACAAGUCCAAAUGAACUGAUUCUUUUUGCAUUAUUUUCUGUUGAGCUCCUCUAUUUUCUGGUAGAAUUUGGUAUUUUUCUCUAUUGUCUAAAUUUUCUAGACAGAGAAAAACGCAUUGUGGAUUAUUUACCAAAUCUUUCAAAAAUGUUUUUCAGUAGGUUUUUGUGUGCUUGAUGAAGACAAGGUGCUUUCCACUUCUUCUUGAAUCAUGGCAAGCCACACCCUCCAUUUGCAUGAUUGCAAUGCAAUAAUAUGGUUUAUUUAAUUUAAUUUUCUUAAAAUAUUGCAUUAGUUAUUAAUGAAUUGUCCAUGGCACUUUUUGGAGUUAUCUUGAUCCUGUUGUUGCCAUGGUAUUGCUUUGAUUUCUAGGACUAAUAUUUUGCAGAUGGUGGAUGACAUGUUGCCAUUGGAUUAACUGUGGUUGUGGUUAUUAUUUUCUUUAUGACAGUAAUUGAUAUUAUGAUUUGGAGUAUUAUUCAUAUCAUGUCGAUCUUAGGGUAAUAUUUUGAUCUUGCUAUUCGAUUAGUAGUAUCUUGAUUCUUGGAUUCAUCAUGACAGUAGUGUUAUGCUAUCCUCGGAGUAUUUUUGACAUGAUGAAAUUAUACUAUGGAUUAUUUGUUGGAUAUAGCUAUGACUUGGAUUACAGGUUGAUAGAUGAUAUUGAAGUAUCAAUUAUUGCAGAUCUAUCUUGGGGAUAAAUUCUGUCAUUUCAUUGGUCAGGUGCCACCGAACCGGGGUUUUUCAGUGCAACCACAUUUGCCUUUAUGGGAAGGCCCGAGUGCGGUCUAAUGUUAUGCCUCUCGCUGGUGCCUCCAACUAGGGAAGGUUAUGUGCGUGUGCUACCCUGGCCCGGUAGGCAGCGAUAACCUUGUGUGCCCGUAGUUUUAGGGCCCUUUGUCCCCAUUAGGACUAUGUAUGUUUUGCCACGACGCUGGCUGUUGGAUGUCCAGAGUGGCAUCGGGGCCACCCAUGACUGAACCAAAAGGGGAGUUGGUCGAAGUGGCCGGGAGAGUGUCAUGGCAGUAGAUUGGUUUUAUCAAAACGCCAUUGGUCCACCUGAAUGGGAGCAUGAGGCCAUGGGUUCUGUGAUGUGGGUACAGUGUGCUAACCUCUGCAGUGUGUGUUUAAUCUAUCGAUAGCCGCAUCCUCGGUCAUGGGCACAAGUUCGUACUAGGUCACACCGUUCAAUCAACACUCACAUGAAAGAAUGACUUAUAGGUGAUUUAUAUGUUGAUAUAAUUUGAGAAGUACAGUUUGGCAGGAUGCUGAUGAUGAUAUUGGGAUGAUCGUGAGGAUGAUCAUUCAAUUUGUGAUGUGGUCACGCGGUGAUCAUGUGGAGGUAUUGAUCACGAGGUGAUCGAGGUUGUUUUGUUGCUUGGCCAGUUAGCCAAUAGUGAGAUGGUUCAUGAGAUCUGAGAUGGUGGUUCAGUAGUAAUUCUAGUAGCAUCAUAUCAUGCUUAGUAGUUGCUUUCUCAUCAUAGUAGUUGAUAAUAAGUUAACAUGUUAAUGCUAUGUUAUUGUCUUUCCUUGAUGCUUUUGGUUAUUGUGAGCUUGCAAGUACAUUCAAUGUACUGACCUGGCGUGUCAUGCCAGAUUGCAGGUGAUGUCAUAAUUGAUUGUUUGUCGAGGUUUCCGUUCAUGCGAGCUAUAUCAAAUCCCAGCCAGAGUCCCUGCGGAGUGGAGUUCACCACCUUCGUCGUUGUUCCCUGCUAGAAGUAUUCCGCUGCUACGAGUUGUUUCGCUGCUAGCAUAGAGCUAGCUUAGUAGGCAUAGUGUCGUCGUGCUGAUGUGAUCCUUUGUAAGAUCAAACCUUUUGUAUCCAUUAUCCUUUUUAAUAAGAGAUGAUUUGUUCUAUGUCGAGCAGUGUCGUAUUCCAGAAGACCUACCUCGAUCUUUGGGCUGGAAUACGAGGCGUUCCAGUCUCUCUAAGCCUGGUGCCAUAGGUGGCGCACGGGGCGGAAGCGGUGGGCGGCGGCUAGGGUUUGGAUCGGUUAGGCUGAUACCAUGUUAGAUGGGAGAGAGAGGGAUUGUUGUGGAAUAUGAUGGAUGAUUAUUGAGCCUCAAGGGCGAGUAUAUAUUGAGUACAAGACUUGGAGGGCAAGAAUCCUCUCCUGGAGAUAAGGUAGGAGAUGGAUUACAAAUCCUAGACUACCAAAUACAAGUAACCCAAAUAUAUCUCUAAGACACUCAAAUAUAAAUAUAAGUCAUUCUGUCAUCGUAAGUGUUGAUCGAAUAGUAUGACCUAGUAUGAAUUGUGUCCAUGAUCGAGGACGUGGCUAUUCGAAUAGAUUGUACACUCUGCAGAGGUCGCACAUUUUCCUCACGCUAUGGAGCUCUUGGCCUCGUAUUUUAGUUCAUACUCCCAUCCAGGUGGACCAGCGCUGCUGCAACAAAAACUGAUCUAUUGCAUGACACUCUUACGACCACUCUGACAUACCCCUUUUUGGGCCAUGUCAUGGGUGUGCCUGUUGUCACCAUGUGACAUCCGGCCACCACCGUGGCUAAACAAAACUGUCCCAAAUGCGGACCUUGGAUAUCCAUAUAACUUGGGCUCACAAGUUUAUCGCCGCCUGUCGAGCUAGGGUAGCACACACAUAUAACCUUCCCUCAUUGGAGGUACCAGUAAGAAGCACGGCAAUAGCUCAAGUUAGGUCCUCCCCAUCCAAGAAAAUGUGGCUACACUGGUGCGCUCGAUUCAGUGGCACUUGAUCAACGAAAUGACGGAAUUUAUCCCAAAGAUAUACCUCUCUCAUAAUUGUUACUCCAAUAUCAUAUAUCACCCUGUCAUCAAAGUCAGAACAAUAUGAAACUAAUAAUCCAAUAAUAAUAUAGUCAUAUCAUUUCUACUAACUCCAUAAGCAAUGAUAUCAAGUAUCCUCAUGUUCAUAAUAAAAGUGCAACUAUUAAUCCUUAUAAUAUAAAGUGAUCAUGGCAAUAUCAAGCUUACAAUCCAAUAAAGAACAUCACCAUGACAUUCCUACUACUCCACAAUUAUAAUACUAAAUAUUCCCAAGGUAUCUCAUGAUCAUAAUGAAAUCAUAGUAAAUGAUCCUACAAAUCCAAAGGUAACAUGGCAAUAUCCAACUUGUAAACUACUAGUCAUAUCCAAUCCAAUUAUGAAUAUGGCAGUAGCAAAUCCAAUAAUACUCCAAGAAUUGCCAUGAAUAAGCCAUUAUCAAAUAAUUCAAAUUAAAUCAAGGUUUAUUAUGUUAAACCAUGGCAUUCCAUUGCAAUCAGGCAAGUGGAGGGUGUGGCUUGCCUUGCUCCAAGAGAGUGAGGACAAUACUCCUGGUCUUCACAUACAAUUAAAUCACUCUAGAAAACAUUAGUAGCAAGAAGAAUAAAUACCACAUAAAGCAAUUUCUUCUAUCAAUAAAAUCUAGAUAGAAGAGAAAAAUGUUAGCUUCUAACAGAAAAUAAAGGAGCUCAAAAGAAAAAUACUACAAAAAGAAUCAAAUCAUUUGGACUUAUAGAUUAGGAGAUAUAGCUGGUCAAAGAUCUGGUCAAACUAGAUAAAAAUGAAUUGAACAGAUUUUAUGGAAUUUCCUGGAGAUGCUGACGACGAAGGUGUGAAGCUAGAAUACGCUUUCACUUGAAAAUGUUUCAGCGCGGCCAGGGUCACUGACUAGUGGGUCCCUUUGGUUAGAUUUAAAUGAAGAAAGAGAGAGAGGCAGUGUGGCGAGCUCACUUGCAAUGGUCGUCCGACGAGGAGGUCAGAGGAGGUGGGAAUGGGAAAAGGUCUCAACGGUGAGUAGCCUCAUACCCGUGGCUCAUCGGGAGGUUAACGGGCAGCGUCGAGCUCUUCGUCUCAAGCGGCGCAGGCUACGUUGGUCUUCGAGAUCGUUGAUUCCAUCUCAAAUUUGAUCGGAGGGGAUAAUUGGGGUUGGGGUUCGCUAGAGUAGGCGGGGGCAGCGAAGGGCGAGCGAUAAAGUUGUGGCUCGAUCCAUGGCAAGAGGCUUUCCAGCCUUGCUCUUGCUGCUAGGAGGAGAAUAGAGGAUGAAGGAUAGCUACUGAGGAGAAUGAGCAAGGCCGAGGUGCUCCUUUUAUAGCCCGGUCAGGAUGUCAUGGCCAGAAACCUCCACGGACGUGUGGUUGAUGUUGUGGCACGAGCGGUGUGUUGUGGGGCCAUUGAGGUUGACGAGAGAGGGCAGAGGGUCAAGGAUGUAGGCAGGCAAUGCUAGGGACGCGAGGCAGGGUGACGUGGGAGUAGAGGUUAUCGGCCACCCAAGCUGCAUUGUUUCUUCGUGGAGGUGGUGGCUCGGGUAUGGCCAGGGCGAUGUAGGAGGGGGAGAGGGUUCAAGAGGGCUAGGUGGAUGAUGGGGGAGCUAGGUGGCACACUGCGGCAACAAGGGCGGCCGAGAAGAGGGCUGGGUGACGAGACCCGACGUUGGCGCGGCGUGGAGCACAUGCUUCGGCAUGCCAUCAACCCGGUCACUGCCUGCACUGACACGUGCAUGGUGACUCAGCAUGGCCAACCAUGUCUAGGGCAUUGUCGCUUCACCUAGUGACCCCAUUGCAGCUUUGGUUCGAUUAAAGUAGCUCUGUGCUGAUCAAUUGCACCAAUUAAAGUUUUUGGCAGCAAGGUUAGAUAGGAUCCUAGGGUCAAAUGACAAGGUUAAUUAGGGAUAAAUGUUGUCAAAGGGAUUUAGGGUAGUAAGGACCAUAAGCUGGACAAUUUGCCAAGAAGUUGGACAAGGUUUGAAUGCAGUUGUUUCACAACUGUAAAAAUAGGCCCAAGACUAGGUUUUGAAGCUGCACUCACAUGGAGUGUUGGAUUGAGAUGAAAUUUCAUAGAGUAUGAUGAUUUAGGUAUAUGGAGACACUGGAUUUUUUUAACUCAUUUGUAUACUCCUAGCUAGCACUUCUUUCACAAUGCUUCUUUCUAGAUAGAAGCUUUGGGAAUUUGCUGAGGUAGAUUGGCUAGGAAAAUGUAGCUGAAUUUUGGCAUUUAGCAAUUAAAUGGAUAGGAUGGAGUUCUCGAAAAGUUUUAGUGUAAUCAGGCGAAGAUAAAUAGUACUUCCUUCAUAAAUUACCAUUUUGGACAAAAUAAAAAAUGAAUAUUCCUAAAUUAUUUUUGAACUAGACAAAGUAGGGUUUUGUCAUAUUUGGAGAAUAUAUUAUCCCAUGGAUUUAUCAGAAUUUUCUUGGGAUUUAUGGCAAGGAAAAAAUAUAGGUUGCUUCACAACCUAGGGAAAACAUGAUUAUUCCUUUAAUAGAAAAGGGAAUAUUUAAAUGGAAUGGAAAUUGUGCUUGGGCUUGGAUGUUCAUGACAUGAUCUUGGGAAAGAUUUGAGAGUGUGGAACCACUUGGGAGAAUAAGUAAUGGGGAUCUUUGAGGGAGUCCUGGACUAAGGGGUCCUCGGACGUCUGGCCUGUUGUCUAUGGGCCGGAUUGAUGGGCUGUGAAGAUACGAAGACCGAAGACUACACCCGUGUACGGAUAGGACACUCCUUGGCGAACAACUAUGAAGAUUUCAUCUUAUGUAACCGACUCUAUGUAACCCUAGAUCCCCCCGAUGUCUAUAUAAACCGGAGGGUGUAGUUCGAAUAGGGGAUACUCAAUACCGUAGUCAUACAAGCUAGACUUCUAGGGUUUAGCUAUUACGAUCUCAUGGUAGAUCAACUCUUGUAACACUCAUAUUCAUAAAGAUCAAUCAAGCAGGAAGUAGGGUAUUACCUCCAUAGAGAGGGCCUGAACCUGGGUAAACAUCAUGUCCCCUGUCUCCUAUUACCAUCAACCUUAGACGCACAGUUCGGGACCCCUACCCAAGAUCUGUCGGUUUUGACACCGACAUUGGUGCUUUCAUUGAGAGUUCCUCUGUGUUGUCGCUGAAAGGUUUGAUGGCCCCCUUCAAUCGUCAAUAAUGGUGCUGUCUGCGGAGAAACAUUCCUCCCCGAACAGAUCUUUGUGUUCGGCGGCUUCGCACUGCGGGCCAACUCGUUUGGCCAUCUGGAGCAGAUCGAAAGCUACGCCCUUGGCCAUCAGGUCAGAUUCGGGAGCUUGAACUACGUCGCGGACAUCCGUGGAGACUUGAUCUUUGCCGGAUUCGAUACCGCGGUAGCUGCUCCCGAUCACCCUGAUGAUCAUGACUUAAAUUUAUCACCAGGCCGCAUCCAGGAGAUCGCUCCUGUAACCGCUCUGGCCCUAGAGCCGGAGCAGGCCGCGCCAUUCAAAGAUGGGAGGAUUAACCCCACCAUGGAGGCCGCAGAUUCCACGGCGUUGGAGCCGCACAUGGACCUGGUCUCACUCGAUGCCUAUGCCACCGGAACACCGGACUUGUCUCCGGCUGUAGGUUCCGAACCACGCGAGCCUGUGGAUGCCGAGCUUGAUCGUUUAUCGAUCUUCAAAUUUAGCACUCAUUAAAAAGUCUGUCCUUAGCGGAGGACUCUCAGCCGAACUAUAUCCGGCUCGAACUAGGGGCUGACGAUGGAGAAUUUCGCUUCCCACCCGCCACCCACUUUAUAGCCAUGGUCCAGGAUUUGACCGACGAACUUGAUUACGACUCCGAGGACAUCGACGAUAUGGACGAUGAUGCCGGAAAAGAAGAAGACCAGAACCCGCCUUCAUCGAAUGCUGGACGGCCACUUCCUCGUAUGAUGUAUACAUGGUGGAUGCACCAAAGGAAAACAGCGGCGAUGACAAGGAAGACCUAGUUGAGGAUAAACCUUCCGAAAUACGGUCCAAGCGCCGGUGUCAGCGGUGCCGCUCUAAGUCACGCCGCAGUAAAGAUAGCAACACCGGCACAGGAGAAGAUGACACUCCAGAAGCUACUGAAGACAACGAAGACCCUGUUGACACAACAAACGAACAAGACGAACGGCAAGAUGCGCAGGUUAGCCCUAUUAAACAGGCCACACACAAAGAUUCGGAGGGCGACAGUUACCUUCCGCUCUCCGAGGAUGAGGUGAGCCUUGGCACCGAGGAUUUCAUCGUGCCCGAGGAGCCUCUUGAGCAGGAGGGCUUCAAGCACCAGCUAAUAGCCACAGCAAGGAGCCUGAAAAAGAAGCUGCAGUAGCUUCAAGCUGAUCAGGAUCUGCUCAAUGAUAAAUGGACUGAUGUCCUAGCAGCCGAAGAAUACGACCUCAAGCGCCCAACCAAAAUCUACCCAAAGCUUAAAUUGCUACCUUAGUUCGACGAGGAGGCGCCGGAGUAUAUACCACCAUCGUACACUGCGGCUGACCGGCCACCGCGUGGCCGGGACAAAACGGCAACCCAUGCCAAACACCAGCCCGCCCCGCCUCGUCACUCAGGCAAAGGUAAAUUAGCCCACGGCCAUACAUAUGACCUCCGGCAGAACCUGAACAAUAAAGCAGGACCUACCAGAUCAAUCUACGGAUCACGAGGACGCACCUCGACACGUGACAACGGCCACCUAUUCGGACGUGACAAACCCAGUCAUGCGCAGGCCAAACACCGUAGACGGACUUCAUCAGAGCUGCAUCAUGAUACAUCCCGAUACAUAGGCCCUACACACCCUCAUUGCUUCACUGAUGAGGUCAUGUAUCAUGAAUUCCCCGAAGGAUUCAAGCCCAUGAACAUAGAAUCAUACGAUGGGACCACGGACCCCAUGGUGUGGAUCGAAGACUUCAUUCUCCACAUCCAUAUGGCACGCGGAGAUGACCUCCACGCCAUCAAAUACCUCCCUCUCAAACUCAAGGGGCCUGCUCGGCAUUGGCUAAAUAGUCUGCUUGACAAUUGUAACAUCCCAAAUUUUCAAGUUGGAAUGUUAUACAUAUAUCAUCAUGCAUAUCAUAUUUUCUUGCAUUUUGGUUGAUCCUAGAAAUUUCACGCAACUCAAGGACCCUCGGAGAGAGUUGGAGAUUUCGAUAUUUUCAUAUUUGAGUUUUUCUCAAAUUUUGAAAACAGGAUCAUUUGAUUUAUUUAUUUUAUCUUCAAUUAUUUUUCCGGUGUCAAAAUAUAUAAGAGAGGGAAUAAUAUGACUUUCCCAAAUUUUGGAAAAAUGAAGAUUUAAUAAAUAGAUCAAUUUUGUUUUGCUGGAGUUUUGUUUGCGUUUUAUUUGGAUAGGGAAAAAUGCACGUUUUCGAAAAUUGCAUUUUAGGCCCGGAGUAAAGUUCAUUUUGUUCGACUCAUUUUUAGGAGUCAGGGAAAAUUUACUUUAGAUUUUUCGGAGUUCGUUUAGUUCUCUUUUUGUUUUUUUUUCUGCGCGCGAAACCGAUUUGAAAAAAAAGGAGCCUCCCGCCAGGCCCGCCGGGCCAAAGGCCCAGCCAGCCGGCCCCUCCCCUCGCGCACAGCACAGGCGCCAGGCGCCAGGCGCCCAGGCAGCCGCAGCCGCUCCCUGGCCGAGUCCCAGUGGGACUUAGGUCGGUUAGCCCCUCCCCUUUCCUUGUUUCUUUUUCUUUUGCUUUCCUAUUCCUAGUCUAUUUCUUGUCCCCUACCCCAAGUCUCCUCUCCCCUCACCUAUAUAAAUACCCCCACACCCCCCCCUCUAAACACAUCAAAUNNNNNNNNNNNNNNNNNNNNNNNNNNNNNNNNNNNNNNNNNNNNNNNNNNNNNNNNNNNNNNNNNNNNNNNNNNNNNNNNNNNNNNNNNNNNNNNNNNNNNNNNNNNNNNNNNNNNNNNNNNNNNNNNNNNNNNNNNNNNNNNNNNNNNNNNNNNNNNNNNNNNNNNNNNNNNNNNNNNNNNNNNNNNNNNNNNNNNNNNNNNNNNNNNNNNNNNNNNNNNNNNNNNNNNNNNNNNNNNNNNNNNNNNNNNNNNNNNNNNNNNNNNNNNNNNNNNNNNNNNNNNNNNNNNNNNNNNNNNNNNNNNNNNNNNNNNNNNNNNNNNNNNNNNNNNNNNNNNNNNNNNNNNNNNNNNNNNNNNNNNNNNNNNNNNNNNNNNNNNNNNNNNNNNNNNNNNNNNNNNNNNNNNNNNNNNNNNNNNNNNNNNNNNNNNNNNNNNNNNNNNNNNNNNNNNNNNNNNNNNNNNNNNNNNNNNNNNNNNNNNNNNNNNNNNNNNNNNNNNNNNNNNNNNNNNNNNNNNNNNNNNNNNNNNNNNNNNNNNNNNNNNNNNNNNNNNNNNNNNNNNNNNNNNACCACCACCCGCGCCACCCCACCCCGCGCCGCCCCACACCACCCGCCGCCGCCCUUGUGCAUCGCCGCCGCCGCCCAACGCCGCCGUUCGCCGGAGACCUCGCCGGAGGUUGCCCCGCGUCUCUUUUCCUCGGAUCGUUUUCUUCUAAUCGUUCCGAUUCUUUUCUUCUCUUCCGAUUCGUUUUCUUUUCGGUUCUUUUCUAAAUCGUUCCGGUUUCUAGAUCGGUUUUUCGUUUCGGUCUUUUUCUCCGAAAACCCUAGAUCGGUUUUCGUUCUUCUUUCGGACCGUUCGUCUCAACGAACGUGAUCACCGAUUUUUCCCCGGUUAACGACGCCCGUUCGUUUAACCGUUCUAAUUUUUCUUUUCGUCGGAUUUAUUCCGCGAUCGUGAUCUCAGAUCCGAUCUUCGUUCUAGUCUUUCUUCUCGCUCAUUUAUCGGAAUCAGGUGAUUCAAGCGCCUGGAGUUUCAUUGCGAAACCGCCGUUCCGUCUAAUCUACUUAAACAAGUUUUUGCCCCGGUAAAAUUUGACCUAGUUUCAACUUGCUAGAACCGAGUUGUUUUCUUCCGCCGUUUGUUUUUCCGUCGUCUGUUCGGUUCUUUCUUUCUUUGCAACCGGUGUUCUUAAAUUGAACUUUCUGGUUCAUUCUCUUGUUCGAGUUUUACCUAUGCAUAGUUGAGUACUUAUUGUAUGCUUGUUGUUUGUCUGCGAUAGAUCACCCGGAUUGCGCCGCUUGUUACUUCGAAACCCUAGGUCUCGCGGAUCAUCAGCAAGGCAAGUAACACUUUGAUCAUACCAUUUCUACAACCCAUGUUUUAUUGCAUUAGAUCAAUCCUCUCACAUUGCAUGAUUAGGAUCUAAUUAAAUUGUGGGAUGGGAAGUAGAUGAGGUAGUACCUAUUACCUGUAUUAUUAUGAAACCUUUGGGAGUUACUUCUACGUUUGCUUAUUAUGCCAUGCUAUGCUAGUAGACGUGGAUUGGGUGAGUGAAAUCCAUGACAGAUGUGAGUUGAUAAUUUUAAUGGUUUAUCUAAGGUGGCAACUUAAACACACAUCUGGGUGGAUUGAGGCACCUGAUGUCUAUCAGGACUUGCCUGUUUUUUUUGGACCGCCACCCAGGCUCAAAGGGAUCAUAAGAUCUUUCAUGCUAGAAACUUCCGUGUGCAGCCACAUGCUACUAUGGGCUCUGGCAUAGUUGACUAAGUUGUGAGAACUCUUACGGGGUGGACUAGCAGAUGUAGGGGUUGUAGGUGGUACGGUCUACCCCACAAGUAAGGUGCUAGCGCUUCUGAAAGACUAUGUCUCGGUCAUCCGUAUCUCAAACACCAUGUAGUGCGAGAAACCAAACAGAGGCGAUCGAGUCAUGUGGGGAAAAGUGCGCAAACCUCUGCAGAGUGUACAAACUAAUCAUGAUUAGCCGUGUCCCCGGUUAUGGACAACUUGAGUAUCUAGUACUUGAAUAUCAUUGUGAAUCUUAGCAUGUUACUUCUAAUUAAUGUUGUUGGGUUUUAAUUACUUUUAGUUGGGAUUGAGAAUGUUGUCAACCAUUCUCAAUGUUUCACAACCACCAUGAUAGUUAAAUAAAUUUAUUCCUUUGCAGUAGGGAAAAACUGGCUUUACGCAAAAACUGUAACCAUAGAGCUUUCCACCAGCCAUAUAUGCAUAUAGUAUAGCUGUUUCAUUCCAUUACUCUCUUUGUGUUACUUUGCCAGCAUAUUCCAUGUGCUGACCCGUAUUCGGGCUGCAACUUCUUAUAUUGCAGACUUUUCAGACGACGAGUAAAGUGCUUUUAGGUCAUGUCCCUAUACUCAGUGAUGCCGUUGGAGUUGAUGGACCCAUUUACCUCCCAAGUCUUCCGCUGUUAUCGACACUAUAUGGCCUUAAGCCAUAUUUAUUGUAAUAAGUCUCUUUGAGACAACAAUGUAAUAAGUGUGUGAUUGCCACUCUGCUAUAAAUCCUUUGAUGUACUGUGUGGUGUCAGCAUUACUGAUCCAGGGAUGACACCUAAGCACAGAGAUCAGACUGUUUGUGGUCUGGUCGCUACAGAGAUGGUAUCAGAGCACACGCUGACUGUAGGACACGACCACUAAGUUAAAGCCAUAGAACAUCACUCUCUUCUCAUUUUUUAACUCCUCAUCUUUUCUACCCUAUUAGGAUGAAGAACGCGAAGAUUAAGUACGCUCAACCGGAUGAAGGCACACCUUUUGGAUUUCACUUGAAAGAAGUCACCAAGUACCUGGACAUUGGAUUACCAAGUUUCACGGGAACCUUCAAUGCCACUCUGCCUGAAGAGGAGCGCUGGAAGAUUCAAGCUCACAUUCCGGGAAGGACAUUCGCGCCAAUCACGAAGCCUAUAGAUAGUGUUUUCAAUGCACCAACCUGGAGUCUGGGAAGGAGCAUGGUAGCUCAUAUCACCAUAGGACGCAUUGGAGAAGUUUACCAAGAAGACCUCAAGGACACUAUCUACCAGAUUUGCGGACGCCGAGAUGAACAAUGGGAGUUAGUCAGCACCAAGAAGGAUAGAUCCAUUGCAUCUUUCAUCCAGGAGUUAAACCAGCACAUUCGACGCCACGAGAACCAGAUGUGCAAUGAUAUGGUAGAGCUGAAGAAUGCGAAGGCAAGGAUCAUCGAGCUAGAAGGAGAACUGAAGUCUACACGCAAGGACUACAUGGACGAGAUCGUAGCUCUAGCGAGACACAAUGGCGAUCUUAAGCAGGAGAUUGAAGAACUCAAGAGGAAGUUAGGAUCCAAGGAGGAAGACGAGUACGUCGCAUGUCCGGACAACUACAUCAUCAUCGACGACACCGAUUCGGAUCCAAGUGAACCCGACUUUGAAGACGAAGCUGGAGCAGAUAUCAUGGAGUCUUCCACCGGUUCAAAUUUCUAGAAGACCACCAGAUAGUAGUAGUAUUCCCCCUAUAAACACAAUAGUUCGAGCACUUUUGCGAUAGUUAGAUCGUUGUAAGCCCUUGUUUGAUUGAAUGAAGUGAUUUUUGUGUGCAUUUGCUCAUGUGCAUUGGGGUAGUGUUUUCCCUUUAGACCUCUCUCUAUUCUUAAUUCUCGUCUUUUCUAAACCCUCAGAUUCCUCUGAGACGUGACAACGGAUUUCCACCGGAGCUCACUCAGUUGAUCCAACAGCAGAAUCAAUUGAUGCAGAUGUUAGUCCAGAACCAGCAGAACAACAACAACAACAACCCACCACCACCACCACCUGUUGACCACUUAGCCCGUUUCCUUAGGCUGAAUCCGCCGGUGUUUUCUAGUAGCACCGAGCCGAUUGUAGCAGAUGAUUGGCUCCGUAAGAUAGGAAGGGAGUUGACCACUGCAGGAUGCACGGAUGGUGAGAAAGUGAAGUUUGCCGCACAUCAGCUUGACGGACCCGCGGCAGCAUGGUGGGAGAAUUUCACAGCCACCUACCCAGUAGACACUGUCACAUGGGAUUAGUUUCAGCAAGCUUUCCGCACAGCCCAUGUUUCAGCAGGAGCUAUGGCCAUGAAGAAGCGUGAGUUUCGCAACUUACGCCAAGGAGGAAGGACAGUUGGCCAGUACGUUGACGAUUUCAGCAAGUUAGCACGUUAUGCCCCAGAUGACGUUGCUACGGAUGCAGCUAAGCAGGAGAAGUUUCUGGAAGGAUUGAAUGAUGAGCUAAGCAUGUAGUUGAUGGUAGCGAGUUUCAACAACUACCAGGAGUUGGUAGAUCGUGCCAUCAUGAUUGAAGGGAAGCAACAGCAGAUUGAAAACUGUAAGAGGAAGUAUGGACAUGGGAAGUAUAACUCUGGAGCCCAGCAGAAGCCCCAUUUUAUUCCUAAACCGGGAUUUAAGUUUCAGCACACCCAUGGAGGAGGUAGCUCGCACAAACAUAAUGGCCACAAGAAUGGUAAUGGAAAUGGAGGAAGCAACGGCUAGAACCAGACCACCCCAUCGACCCCAACCAAGAGAGACCUGAGUCAAGUCACUUGUUUCAAGUGUUCCAAGACCGGACAUUAUGCCAAUGAAUGUCCCGAAGGCCAGAAUGGGAAUGGCAAUGGAAGCUCUGGGAAGAAGCCGAACCCUUUCAAUAGGGGACAGGUGAACCACCUUAAUGUGGAGGAGGUUGAAGAUCAGCACGAUGCAGUAAUAGGUAAGUUUUUGGUUAAGUCAUUUACUGCACUCGUUCUUUUUGAUACUGGAGCGUCGCAUUCAUACAUAUCAAGGGGAUUUGUGGAUAAAUAUAACCUGCCGACCCAAGCCCUUAGGUCACCCAUGUUAGUAAGCUCACCAUGAGCGGAGUUUAUGGCUAGACGAUGGUGUGAUCGGUAACUAUGUGUUUCCCUCAGACCUAAUAGUAUUGGAAUCUCAAGGAUUGGAUGUAAUAUUAGGCAUGGAUUGGUUAUCAAAGUAUAAAGGGAAUAUUGAGUGUGCUAGUAAGUCAAUUUUGCUUACCACACCAGAAGGAAGAAGGAUCAAGUAUGUAUCCCGGCAUAUGCCAAACAGGACACAAGUAAACUGCCUAACAGGAGUUGUGCAAGAGGAUGUACUAGUGGUAAAGGAUUUUCCUGAUGUAUUUCUCGAAGAGUUUCCAGGCAUGCCACCGGAUAGAGACAUUGAGUUUUUGAUUGAGUUAUUGCCAGGUACAGGCCCAAUAUCGAAGCGACCAUAUAGGAUGCCAGCAAAGGAUUUGGUGGAAAUUAAGAAUCAGAUUAAGGAGUUAUUGGAUAAGGGUUACAUUCGCCCAAGUUCUUCGCCUUGGGGAUCACCCAUGCUUCUAGUGGAAAAGAAGGAUGGAUCAUUAAGGAUGGUUGUAGAUUAUCGGGGAUUGAAUGAAGUAACCAUCAAGAACAAGUACCCACUGCCAAUGAUCAACGAUCUGUUUGAUCGGUUGCAAGGAGCUAAAGUGUUUUCCAAGAUCGAUUUGCGAUCAGGGUACCAUCAAUUGAAGAUUCGAGAGCAGGACAUACCUAAGACAGCGUUCACCACGAGAUAUGGACUGUAUGAGUAUACCGUGAUGUCAUUUGGAUUGACUAACGCACUUGCCUAUUUUAUGAAUCUGAUGAACAAAGUGUUUAUGGAGUUUUUGGAUAAAUUCGUCGUAGUGUUCAUUGAUGACAUCCUGGUUUAUUCAAAGAAUGAAGAGGAACAUAAGGAACAUUUGCGUUUGGUUUUGGAGAAACUAAGGGAACAUCAGUUAUACGCCAAAUUCAGCAAAUGUGAGUUUUGGUUGAAGGAAGUUGGAUUCCUCGGACACGUUAUAUCUGGAGAAGGUAUAGUAGUUGACCCCACAAAGGUUGAGACCGUAACCGAAUGGGAAGCACCAACAACAGUUGGAGAGAUCCGGAGUUUUCUUGGACUCGCAGGAUACUACCGGAGAUUCAUUGAGAACUUUUCAAAGAUAGCAAAGCCUAUGACUGAAUUGUUGAAGAAGGAUACUAAGUUCAAAUGGACUGAGGAGUGUGAGGCUAGUUUCCAGGAGUUAAAGAAACGUUUGGUCACCUCACCAGUAUUAAUCUUGCCAGAUCAAACCAAGGAUUAUGAGGUGUAUUGCGACGCUUCACGUCGAGGACUUGGAGCAGUGCUUAUGCAGGAAGGAGGAGUUGUUUCGUAUGCUUCACGACAACUAAAGCCUCAUGAGUUGAAUUAUGCCACGCAUGAUUUGGAGUUAGCAGCCGUAGUGCAUGCAUUGAAGACGUGGAGACAUUUCCUCAUUGGAAAUCAUUGUGAGGUGUACACGGAUCACAAGAGUUUGAAGUACAUUUUUACGCAGAAGGAGUUGAACCUCAGACAAAGGAGAUGGUUGGAGCUCAUCAAGGAUUAUGACAUGAGAUUGCAUUACCAUCCCGGAAAAGCUAAUGUAGUAGCUGACGCAUUGAGCCGUAAGAGCCAUGUCAAUACCCUAGUGACAGAGAAAAUACCCAAGGAGUUAGCAGAAAACCUUCAUGAACUAUGUUUGGAAAUAGUUCCCAGAGGAUAUGUAGCAGCAUUGGAGAUUCAGUCAACAUUGAUGGAUAAAAUCAGAGAAGCUCAGAAAUCUGACAAGCAGAUUGCUGCUAUAAAAGAGAGAAUGAGCAAAGGAAAAGCAAAGGGAUUUCGUGAAGAUGAGCACGAUACCCUAUGGUUUGAGGACCAUGUUUAUGUGCCCAAUGACCCGGAGAUCAGGAAGUUGAUUUUGCAAGAGGCACAUGAUUCACCGUAUUCGAUUCACCCAGGGAAUACCAAGAUGUAUUUGGAUUUGAAGGAAACAUUCUGGUGGACCGGAAUGAAGAAGGAUAUUGCAGCAUAUGUAGCAGUUUGUGACGUAUGUCAGAGAGUAAAAGCAGAGCAUCAGAAGCCAGCAGGACUGUUACAACCAUUGCCGAUAUCCGAAUGGAAGUGGGAUAUGAUAGGCAUGGAUUUUAUCACAGGACUACCCAGGACAAAGGCAGGCUAUGAUUCGAUAUGGGUAGUAGUUGAUUGUUUGACGAAGGUAGCACAUUUUAUUCCAGUUAAGACCACUUACACCAGUGCUAAGUUGGCAAAGAUAUACGUGACUAGGAUCAUUUGUUUGCAUGGAGUUCCGAGGAGUAUCGUAUCAGAUAGAGGAACCCAAUUUACCUCAAAGUUUUGGAAUCAGUUGCAUGAAACUUUAGGAACCAGACUAGAGUUCAGCACAGCUUUUCAUCCACAGACAGAUGGACAGACCGAGAGAGUCAAUCAGAUUUUGGAAGAUAUGCUGAGAGCUUGUGCACUAGAUGAUGGAUCUAGCUGGGACGAUAAUUUGCCAUACGCGGAGUUUUCUUACAAUAAUAGCUAUCAGACCAGUUUGAAGAUGGCACCUUUCGAAGCCCUAUACGGAAGGAGGUGCAGGACACCAUUGUCAUGGGACGAAGUGGGAGACCGUCAAUUCUUUGGACCAGAUUUGAUUAAGGAGUUUGAACGGAAAGUUAAGUUGAUUCGCGAUAGGCUCAAGGUAGCCCAGUCUAGGCAAAAGAGUUACGCAGAUUCAAAACGCAAGGAGACAGUUUACGAAACUGGAGACAGAGUUUACCUUCGAGUAUCCCCACUUCGAGGAAUAAAGCGCUUUGGAGUUAAGGGAAAGUUAGCACCGCGUCUCGUUGGACCGUACAAGAUCUUGCAACGUAUGGGAGAAGUCGCUUAUAAGUUGGAAUUACUAGAAGGACUGUCAGGAGUUCAUGAUGUAUUCCAUGUUUCUCAGCUAAAGAAAUGGCAUGCCGAAAUGGCGGAAGUACCGCUAAGAGAUACAGUGCCACUCGAAGCGAUUCAGUUGGAUAACGACUUAACCUAUGAGGAGAAGCCAGUCAAGAUUCUCGAUUAUGCUAGCAGAGUUACUCGCAGCAAGGUUAUCAAGUUUUGCAAAGUUCAGUGGAACCACCACUCAGAGGAUGAAGCCACCUGGGAGAGAGAAGAAGAUUUGCUCAAGGACCACCCUCACCUAUUUUCUAGCCAACCCGAAUCUCGAGGGCGAGAUUCAUCUUAAGGGGGUUAGGUUUGUAACAUCCCAAAUUUUCAAUUUGGAAUGUUAUACAUAGAUCAUCAUGCAUAUCAUAUUUUCUUGCAUUUUGGUUGAUCCUAGAAAUUUCACGCAACUCAAGGACCCUCGGAGAGAGUUGGAGAUUUCGAUAUUUUCAUAUUUGAGUUUUCUCAAAUUUUGAAAAGAGGAUCAUUUGAUUUAUUUAUUUUAUCUUCAAUUAUUUUUCCGGUGUCAAAAUAUAUAAGAGAGGGAAUAAUAUGACUUUCCCAAAUUUAGGAAAAAUGAAGAUUUAAUAAAUAGAUCAAUUUUGUUUUGCCAGAGUUUUGUUUGCGUUUUAUUUGGAUAAGGAAAAAUGCGCGUUUUCGAAAAUUGCAUUUUAGGCCCGGAGUAAAGUUCAUUUUGUUCGACUCAUUUUUAGGAGUCGGGGAAAAUUUACUUUAGAUAUUUUGGAGUUCGUUUACUUCUCUUUUUGUUUAUUUUUUUUCUGCGCGCGAAACCGAUUUGAAAAAAAGGAGCCUCCCGCCAGGCCAGUCGGGCCAAAGGCCCAGCCAGCCGGCCCCUCCCCUCACGCGCAGCGCAGGCGCCAGGCGCCAGGCGCCCAGGCAGCCGCCGCCGCUCCCUGGCCGAGUCCCAGCGGGACUUAGGUCGGUUAGCCCCUCCCCUUUCCUUGUUUCUUUUUUUUUGCUUUCCUAUUCCUAGUCUAUUUCUUGUCCCCUACCCCAAGUCUCCUCUCCCCUCACCUAUAUAAAUACCCCCACACCCCCCUCUAAACACAUCAAANNNNNNNNNNNNNNNNNNNNNNNNNNNNNNNNNNNNNNNNNNNNNNNNNNNNNNNNNNNNNNNNNNNNNNNNNNNNNNNNNNNNNNNNNNNNNNNNNNNNNNNNNNNNNNNNNNNNNNNNNNNNNNNNNNNNNNNNNNNNNNNNNNNNNNNNNNNNNNNNNNNNNNNNNNNNNNNNNNNNNNNNNNNNNNNNNNNNNNNNNNNNNNNNNNNNNNNNNNNNNNNNNNNNNNNNNNNNNNNNNNNNNNNNNNNNNNNNNNNNNNNNNNNNNNNNNNNNNNNNNNNNNNNNNNNNNNNNNNNNNNNNNNNNNCACCCGCCGCCGCCCUUGUGCAUCGCCGCCGCCGCCCAACGCCGCCGUUCGCCGGAGACCACGCCGGAGGUUGCCCCGCGUCUCUUUUCCUCGGAUCGUUUUCUUCUAAUCAUUCCGAUUCUUUUCUUCUCUUCCGAUUCGUUUUCUUUUCGGUUCUUUUCUAAACCGUUUCGGUUUCUAGAUCGGUUUUUCAUUUCGGUCUUUUUCUCCGAAAACCCUAGAUCGGUUUUCGUUCUUCUUUCGGACCGUUCGUCUCAAUGAACGUGAUCACCGAUUUUUCCCCGGUUAACGACGCCCGUUCGUUUAACCGUUCUUCUUUUUCUUUUCGUCGGAUUUAUUCUGCGAUCGUGAUCUUAGAUCCGAUCUUCGUUCUAGUCUUUCUUCUCGCUCGUUUAUCGGAAUCAGGUGAUUCAAGUGCCUGGAGUUUCAUUGCGAAACCGCCGUUCCGUCUAAUCAACUUAAACAAGUUUUUGCCCUGGUAAAAUUUGACCUAGUUUCAACUUGCUAGAACCGAGUUGUUUUCUUCCGCCGUUUGUUUUUCCGUUGUCUGUUCGGUUCUUUCUUUCUUUGCAACCGGAGUUCUUAAAUUGAACUUUCUGGUUCGUUCUCUUGUUCGAGUUUUACCUGUGCAUUAGUUGAGUACUUAUUGUAUGCUUGUUGUUUGUCUGCGAUAGAUCACCCGGAUUGCGCCGCUUGUUACUUCGAAACCCUAGGUCUCACGGAUCAUCAGCAAGGCAAGUAACACUUUGAUCAUACCUUUUCUACAACCCAUGUUUUAUUGCAUUAGAUCAAUCCUCUCACAUUGCAUGAUUAGGAUCUAAUUAAAUUGUGGGAUGGGAAGUAGAUGAGGUAGUACCUAUUACCUGUAUUAUUAUGAAACCUUUGGGAGUUACUUCUACGUUUGCUUAUUAUGCCAUGCUAUGCUAGUAGACGUGGAUUGGGUGAGUGAAAUCCAUGACAGAUGUGAGUUGAUAAUUUUAAUGGUUUAUCUAAGGUGGCAACUUAAACACACAUCUGGGUGGAUUGAGGCACCUGAUGUCUAUCAGGACUUGCCUGUUUUUUUUGGACCUCCACCCAGGCUCAAAGGGAUCAUAAGAUCUUUCAUGCUAGAAACUUCCGUGUGCAGCCACAUGCUACUAUGGGCUCUGGCAUAGUUGACUAAGUUGUGCGAACUCUUACGGGGUGGACUAGCAGAUGUAGGGGUUGUAGGUGGUACGGUCUACCCCACAAGUAAGGUGCUAGCGCUUCUGAAAGACUAUGUCUCGGUCAUCCGUAUCUCAAACACCAUGUAGUGCGAGAAACCAAACAGAGGCGAUCGAGUCAUGUGGGGAAAAGUGCGCAAACCUCUGCAGAGUGUACAAUCUAAUCAUGAUUAGCCGUGUCCCCGGUUAUGGACAACUUGAGUAUCUAGUACUUGAAUAUCAUUGUGAAUCUUAGCAUGUUACUUCUAAUUAAUGUUGUUGGGUUUUAAUUACUUUUAGUUGGGAUUGAGAAUGCUGUCAACCAUUCUCAAUGUUUCACAACCACCAUGAUAGUUAAAUAAAUUUAUUCCUUUGCAGUAGGGAAAAACUGGCUUUACGCAAAAACUGUAACCAUAGAGCUUUCCACCAGCCAUAUAUGCAUAUAGUAUAGCUGUUUCAUUCCAUUACUCUCUAUGUGUUACUUUGCCAGCAUAUUCCAUGUGCUGACCCGUAUUCGGGCUGCAACUUCUUAUGUUGCAGACUUUUCAGACGACGAGUAAAGUGCUUUUAGGUCAUGGCCCUAUACUCAGUGAUGCCGUUGGAGUUGAUGGACCCAUUUACCUUCCAAGUCUUCCGCUGUUAUCGACACUAUAUGGCCUUAAGCCAUAUUUAUUGUAAUAAGUCUCUUUGAGACAACGAUGUAAUAAGUGUGUGAUUGCCACUCUGCUAUAAAUCCUUCAAUGUACUGUGUGGUGUCAGCGUUACUGAUCCAGGGAUGACACCUGAGCACAGAGAUCAGACUGUUUGAGGUCUGGUCGCUACAACAAUUCCAUUGGCAGUUGGGAGGACUUGGAAGAGGCUUUCCUCGAUAACUUCCAAGGUACAUGCGUUCGACCUCCGGACGCUGAUGACUUAAGCCAUAUAGUCCAGCAGCACGAAGAGUCCGCCAGGAAAUUCUGGACAAGGUUCCUAACUAAAAAGAACCAAAUCAUUGACUGUCCGGACGCCGAAGCUCUAGCAACUUUCAAACAUAGCAUCCGUGACGAAUGGCUCGCCCGCACCUCAGCCAAGAAAAGCCAAAAUCCAUGGCGGCCCUCACGGCACUAAUGACCCUCUUUUGUGCGGGCAAGGACAGUUGGUUGGCCCGUAGCAAAAACAAUGCAAGUGACGCCGGCACCCCUAAAGUUAAAAAUAACAAAGACAAGUCUCGACGCAAUAGAUACAAGCGCCGUAAUAGCAGUGACGACACCGAGGAUACGGCGGUCAAUGCCGGAUUCAGUGGCUCUAAGUCCGGUGAGCGGAAGAAGUCGUUCCAAAAGAACAAUUCGAGCCCAUCCAGCUUGGACCACAUACUUGAUCGUCCAUGCCAGAUUCACGGCACCCCCGACAAGCCUCCUAAUCAUACAAAUAGAGAGUGUUGGGUUUUCAAACAGGCCACCAAAUUAAAUGUCGAGAACAGGGAAAAAGGUUCACAAAGCGAGGAUGACGAUGAAGAGUCACAGCAGCCGAACACAAGGGGACAGAAGAAGUUUCCCCCUUAGGUCAAAAUGGUGAACAUGAUACAUGCCAGGCACAUCCCCAAGAGGGAGUGCAAGCGUGCGCUUAGGGACGUCUACGCGAUAGAGCGAGUCUCCACAAAAUUCAACCCAUGGUUGUCGUGCCCAAUCACUUUCGAUCGCCGGGACCACCCGACCAGUAUCCAUCAUGGGGGCUCAGCCACACUAGUCUUAGACCCAAUAAUUGACGGGUUUCACCUGACUCGCGUCCUUAUGGACGGUGGUAGCAGCCUCAAUCUUCUCUAUCAGGAUACAACGCGGAAAAUGGGCAUUAACCCAUCAAGGAUCAAGCCUACAAGGACUACCUUUAAAGGAGUCAUACCAGGUGUAGAGGCUCGCCGUAUGAGCUCAAUCACAUUAGAGGUUGUCUUCGGAUCUCCGGACAACUUCCGAAGUGAGGAGUUAAUCUUCGAUAUCGUCCCAUUCCGCAGUGGCUAUCAUGCACUGCUCGGACGAACUACGUUUGCUCGAUUGAACGCAGUGCCACACUAUGCUUAUCUCAAGCUCAAGAUGCCCGGUCCACGUGGCGUUAUAACAGUCAAUGGCAAUACGGAACGCUCUCUCUGUACAGAAGAGCACACAGCUGCCCUAGCAGCAGAAGUACAAAGCAGCCUUCUCAACCAGACCCUUCAUUCGGCUGAAGAGCCCGCGGACAUCCUUAAGAGGGUCCGAACUACUCUGCAGCAGGAGAGCUCAGCUCGUCAGGAGCUCGACUAGCAAUCCGGCCUCCGUCUCAGUCCCGAUCAAGUGGUGGCAUUCGUGUCACGCGUACAUACCUACGCACUUAAAAUUCCAUGGGCAUUAACGGAGGCACAGACAACUUGUGAUCCAUGGCACGGCUCAAUCGACAUCAGAUACACACAUACUUUCACUUUUACUUGUUUUCCUUUCAGGUCUCAAGCCCACAGGCCCCUCGGGGGGUCUGGUUAUCGGUCCUCUUGUAGGAUAAAUACACCAAGAGGGUGAGAAGCGCGGACAUAUGGGGAACUUUUUAGGUGAUUCCGUUAAUGAUAACUCUACCUAUUUUCCAGGACCCAUAUGCAGCUCUCCCUUAGUUUCGGCAUGUUCAAUAGCCUAUUGCUUAUUGAACUAUUUGUAUCAAUGCGCCUUGACGUACUAAUUACAUUACAAUGAAAACAGUGUGUAGCUGGAGCUUUAGGACCCCAGCUUUUUACCUUUAAGUCUUUUCUGUUUUCUUUCUCUCUCUUCUUUUUCAGAUUCCCUAUGGAUAACCCCAUCAGGUAGCACCCGUACACUUUGGUAUGUUUGAAGUUUGCCAGGGGCUUUAUAGAACCUUACACUAUGGCAACAAAAGUCCGAACACUUUCUAUAAGUAUAGUUUGGCACCCCGAAUUUAGCAUUAUAUGCAUUGGCUCCAAAUCAUGUCUUUGGUCAAUAGUUGGGUUGCCUGGCUCCUGUGCUUGCUACCCUAUGUUCCGCUACAUCGGCUAGGGUAGUAAAGGGAGAACUACUACGAUUGUGUCCUGGUCUAAACCGGAUGAGCACCUCAGUAGAGAAAGCUGAAAACUGACUGACAUGUUCCGGCGAGAGCUGGUCAGCUGUUCAGCGGUCUUAAAUCGUUGGAGAUUUUUCCGCAUUUCGGGAAGGAUCGGUACUUCCUUAUCAGACGCUGACACCACUCUGGUUCGUAUACCAGCGGAUGCACCUAUGUUUUAUUAUAAAACUCCUAUGGCUAAGUGAGGGCGUUCAAGCCGUAUAGUCUGGUUGCCUGGUUCAUUGCGCUCAACAACUCCUUCAAGGACCAUAUAAUUGGAUCAAGAUUGUUUAGAUUCCAUCCCGAACACCUCCGUACUACCUACACGAGGGCUGAAGCUGAUGACUGGUUAACCCUCAGAUUUCAUACAACAUGGCCGCACAGGAGGAAACACUCAAAACAUAAUAAAAAUUAUAUAUUACAAGGCGUAUUUGUUCAUACAAGGCAAAACAUGGAUGUAUUCAUUCGAGAAUAACAUCCUCCCCGCAUUGCGUUGCUACAAGUCGAGAUCCCUCCAAGACAUCCGCAAAAUAUCGAUCGUGUGUGCGGUGCUCCUUGACCUCCGGCAGCCCCCUGGCCACCUCGACGGCAUUCAUCUUCGCCCACCACAUCUUGCAACAAGCGAAGGCCAUGCGGGCACCCUCGAUGCAGACUGAUCGCUUGACGAUGUCUAGCCGCGGACAAGCCUCGACCACCCGCUUCACAAGGCCAAAAUAACUACUAGGUAUAGCUUCGGUCGGCCAUAAUCGGAUUAUGAAAUCCUUCAUGGCCAGUUCGGCCACCCUAUGCAGCUCGACCAACUGCUUCAGUUGAUUGGAAAAGGCCACCGGAUGUUCUAGCACAGCAUAUUGCGACCAGAAUAGCUUCUCCGAAGAAUCCCCUUCCCUGGCUCGGAAGAACUCCGCAGCAUUGGAUACACUACGGGGCAGAUCCACAAAAGCCCCUGGGCAACUCCGAAUCCGGGUUAGUAAAAGGUACUUCCUCUCCACAUACUUGCUUUGCAUGUUAAAUUCCUUACCCACCGUGAUCUUCUUCGCCUCCUGGAUCUCCUGGAGAGCGUCCCAGGCCUCAUUCCGUGCGGCCUCUGAGCUCUGACAAGCCUUGGUAAGUUCGGCCUCUCGAGCCGACGCCUCGUGCCCCAAAGCUUCACACUUCUUCACCACGUCUUGGAGCUCCUGCUGGACCUCCCCGACCCGAGCCUUGAGCUUCUUAUGGGCGGCUUAUUGUUGGAUAGCCUUCCCCUCGGCUUCGGCCAGGGCCUUUCUCAGGGUCUCAACCUCGGUCGUCACUUCUGUACAAAUCAUGGCAUUUUGGUCAUCGCAUACAAUUUUCUUCUUUUUGAAUAUAUAACAUGUUAUUGCUUACCUUGUUUCUCCUGGAGCUUCCUCUUCGCUUGGCCCAGCUCCUCCUCGGCCUCUGCCAGUUUCUACUUCAGUCCAGAAACUUCGGCAAUAUGCGAGGCCGCGGCUAGCAACGACGCCUGCAUUUCAGAAAAAUUAAGUUAGUUUCCUGUUAAAACGAGAUUGAUCCUCUUCCCAGCUUUUUCUUUCCGAACACCGGACAGUGUCUAAGGGGCUACUGGUCUACACUGGGAUUUUCUCCUUGUACAGCGUUUCUUACCUCAAAAUCUGUCAGCAAGCUGCUGGAGGCUUCGGUUAAUCUGCUCUUGGCGGACUAAACCUUUUCAAUCACCACGCCCAUAAGGGCACGGUGCUCAUCCAUAAUGGAAGCGCCUCGUAGCGUCUCCAGCAGGUUACCCGAUGCCCCUGGUUGGACAGGGGUCACCGGCGGAACAGGCAUCCCCGCUUCUUUCAAAGGAGGGUGCGUGUUGGAUUCCAGAGCCGCCUCGGUCUCCAGAAUUGAGUCCGGUUGAGGGCCAAACUGUGUACGGCCCUUCCCGCCAGUAUCAUUGGGGAUUGAGUCCCCUUGGUGUCCGGUGACGGGAGUUUCGCCUUCGGGCACAUCCUAAGCCUCUCCCCCGCUGGAGACAGUCCUUGGUUUUGGGGGAGUGUGCGUCCGGCAGGGAGUCGCUGGCCAUUGCCUUGGAAUCCAGCAAGCCUCCUGACGAGGAUCGCUCGGAGCUAUUGUGGGCCGGACUACAAUAACAUUUGCCAAUCGUUUCAAUACAAUGAGGAGGAGAGACUUUAUGGGCGGAUAAGGUGUUAGUACUUAUGAUGCGGCCCGAGGCUUAGCGCGGGGGCGUCUCUCCGGACUGUCAUCAAGGUCCCAUGCAAAGUUACCCGUUAGGGAGCCCUUCCCCUUUUUGGGCGCCUCCACCUCCAGAGUUGUGGAGGCCGCCCUCUUCUUCCUCCCCCCGUCGGGGGGAGAGUGAUACGCCUCCAACGUAUCUAUAAUUUUUUAUUGUUCCAUGCUAUAUUAUAUUCUGUUUUGGAUGUUUAAUGGGCUUUAUUAUACACUUUUAUAUUAUUUUUGGGACUAACCUAUUAACCGGAGGCUCAGCCCAAAUUGUUGUUUUUUGCCUAUUUCAGUGUUUCGCAGAAAAGGAAUAUCAAACUAAGUCCAAACGGAAUGAAACCUUUGGGAACGUGAUUUUCUCAACAAACGUGAUCUAGGAGACUUGGAGUGGGCGUCAAGAAACAAUCGAGGAGGCCACGAGGCAGGGGGCGCACCUACCCCCCUGGGCGCGCCCUCCACCCUCGUGGGCCCCUUGUUGCUCCACCGACCUACUUCUUCCUCCUAUAUAAGUCCACGUACCCCGCAAACAUCCAGGAUGACCACGAAAACCUAAUUCCACCGCCGCAACCUUCUGUACCCGAGAGAUCCCAUCUUGGGGCCUUGCCGGAGCUCCACCGGAGGGGGCAUUGAUCACGGAGGGCCUCUACAUCAACUCCAUGGCCUGUCCGGUGAUGUGUGAGUAGUUUACUUCAGACCUUCGGGUCCAUAGCUAGUAGCUAGAUGGCUUCUUCUCUCUCUUUGGAUCUCAAUACAAAGUUCUUCUCGAUCUUCUUGGAGAUCUAUUCGAUGUAAUCUUCUUUUGCGGUGUGUUUGUCGAGAUCCGAUGAAUUGUGGGUUUAUGAUCAAGUUUAUCUAUGAACAAUAUUUGAAUCUGCUCCGAAUUCUUUUAUGUAUGAUUGGUUAUCUUUGCAAGUCUCUUCGAAUUAUCAGUUUCGUUUGGCCUACUAGAUUGAUCUUUCUUGCAAUGGGAGAAGUGCUUAGCUUUGGAUUCAAUCUUGCGGUGUCCUUUCCUAGUGACAGCAGGGGCACGUAUUGUAUUGUCGCCAUCGAGGAUAAAAAGAUGGGGUUUAUAUCAUAUUGCAUGAGUUUAUCCCUCUACAUCAUGUCAUCUUACUUAAAGCAUUACUCUAUUCUUAUGAACUUAAUACUCUAGAUGCAUGCUGGAUAGCGGUCGAUGUGUGGAGUAAUAGUAGUAGAUGCAGAAUCGUUUCAGUCUACUUGUCACGGACGUGAUGCCUAUAUACAUGAUCAUACCUAGAUAUUCUCAUAACUAUGCUCAAUUCUAUCAAUUGAUCGACAGUAAUUCGUUUACCCACCGUAAUACUUAUGCUCUUGAGAGAAGCCAUUAGUGAAACCUAUGGCCCCCGGGUCUAUCUUCCAUCAUAUUAAUCUUCCAACACUUAGCUAUUUCUAUUGCCAUUUAUUUUACUUUGCAUCUUUAUUUCUCUUUAUCAUAAAAAUACCAAAAAUAUUAUCUUAUCAUAUCUAUUAGAGCUCACUCUCGUAAGUGACCGUGAAGGGAUUGACAACCCCUUUAUCACGUUGUUGCGAGGUUCUUAUUUGUUUGUGUAGGUGCGAGGGACUCGAGCGUGAUCUCCUACUAGAUUGAUACCUUGGUUCUCAAAAACUAAGGGAAAUAUUUACGCUACUUUACUGCAUCACCCUUUCCUCUUCAAGGGAAAACCAACGCAGUGCUCAAGAGGUAGCAAGAAGGAUUUCUGGCGCCGUUGCCGGGGAGAUUCGUGCCAAGUCAAGUCAAGAUUUGACUCCCGACAAUGAGCCAUUUCUGGCGCCGUUGCCGGGGAGUCUACGCACAAGUCAAGACAUACCAAGUACCCAUCACAAACUCUUAUCCCUCACAUUACAUUAUUUGCCAUUUGUCUCUCAUUUUCCUCUCCCCCACUUCACCAUUGUCAUUUUAUUCGCUUUCUCUUUUCCGCUCACCUUUCUUUCGCCAUGUCAGAAUAAAAAAGGGUUGGGGGUUCUCUCCCGAGUUUUAGUACUUUGGACAAUCCUUCUAUUCUCUCUAAACUCAUAAAUAAUGAUGCUAUGGAAAGACCUACCGAAGUUAUCAAUGAGAAUCUUAAUAAUUUUGAUGAAGAUGAUUCCGGAAUUUUUCAUUAUUUACUCGAUGAAUCUUUGAAAGAUGCUUGGGAUAGACUAUUAAGGAUCCGGGCCAGGUAUGUGCCCCAAUACCAAAUUGAAAUUUACUUAAAGAGCUUUUAUGUUGCCCUACCUUCUUCAUUUAAGCAUGUCUUAGAUUCUAUAUUUGAAGAAGGUUUUCUUGAAGGGGAUGUCGUAGAUACUUAUGAAAAGAUGAAAACCAUAUUUGGGCACCCCAUGAAUGAGAAGGUUGAAUCCACAUCUCUUUUGCUCUCCUACCAAAACGAAUCUAUCAAAGAGAUGAAAGCUAGCUUAGAUGAAAAUUUCCGUAAAAUGCUUAAUCUUUCUUCUACCAUUAACAACCAUGUGCUUUAUCAAAACAGAAAGAUUAAUGCCAUAGAUAAUAAGUUUGAUCUUUUCUUCCCUAAAACCAAAGAUGGCAAUACCUAGAUCUAUCCUUGCUUUUAUGCCUAGCUAGGGGCGUUAAACGAUAGCGCUUGUUGGGAGGCAACCCAAUUUUAUUUUUAUUCCUUGAUUUUUUGCUUCUGUUUAGUAAUAAAUAAUUUAUAUAGCCUCUGUUUUGGUUGUGUUUUUUGUGUUUAAUUAGUGUUUGUGCCAAGUAGAACCGUUGGGAAGACUUGGGGAAUGUCCUUUUGAUCUUGCUGUAAAAGAUAGAAACUUUAGCGCUCACGAGAAUUGCUGACAUUUUUAUUUGGAGAGUGAUAUUUCGUUAAUCCUUUUUGAAUAUGAUUAAUAGAUAAAUUCCUCACGUCCAGAAAUUUAUUUUAGAAUUUUUGGGGUUCCAGAAGUUUGCGUUAGCUACAGAUUACUACAGACAGUUCUGUUUUUGACAGAUUCUGUUUUUCGUGUGUUGUUUGCUUAUUUUGAUGAAUCUAUGGCUAGUAAUAAAGUUUAUAAACCAUAGAGAAGUUGAAAUACAGUAAGUUUAACACCAAUAUAAAUAAAGAAUGAGUUCAUUACAGCACCUUGAAGUGGUGGUUUGUUUUCUUUCGCUAACGGAGCUCACGAGAUUUUCUAUUUGAGUUUUGUGUUGUGAAGUUUUCAAGUUUUGGGUAAUGAUUAGAUGGAUUAUGGAACAAGGAGUGGCAAGAGCCUAAGCUUGGCGAUGCCCAUGGCACCCCAAGGUAAUCUAAGGACACCAAAAAGCCAAAGCUUGGGGAUGCCCCGGAAGGCAUCCCCUCUUUCGUCUUCAUCCAUCGGUAACUUUACAUGGAGCUAUAUUUUUAUUCACCACAUGAUAUGUGUUUUGCUUGGAGCGUUUUGUAUGAUUUGAGUCUAUGAUUUUUAGUAUGCCAAAAUAAUCCUGGCUGUACACACCUUUUGAGAGAGACACACAUGAUUCGGAAUUUAUUAGAAUACUCUAUGUGCUUCACUUAUAUCUUUUGAGCUAUAUAGUUUAUGCUCUAGUGCUUCACUUAUAUCUUUUAGAGCACGGUGGUGGAUUUGUUUUAUAGAAACUACUGUUCUCUCAUGCUUCACUUCUAUUAUUUUGAGAGUCGUUUAGAACAACAUGGCAAUUUGCUGUUAGGAAUAAUAAAAACUUUCAUAUGAGUGUGUUGAAUACUAUGAGAAGUUUGAUGCUUGAUAAUUGUUUUGAGAUAUGAAGAUGGUGAUAUUAGCGUCAUGCUAGUUGACUGAUUAUUAAUUUGAGAAAUACUUGUGUUAAAGUUUGUGAUUUCCGUAGCAUGCACAUAUGCUGAACCGUUACGUGAUGAAGUCGGAGCAUGAUUUAUUUAUUGAUUAUCUUCCUUAUGAGUGGCGGCCGGGGAUGAGCGAUGGUCUUUUUCUACCAAUCUAUCCCCCUAGGAGCAUGCGCGUAAUACUUUGCUUUGAUAACUCGUAGAUUUUUGCAACAAGUAUAUGAGUUCUUUAUGACUAAUAUUGAGUCCAUGGAUUAUACGCACUCUCAUCCUUCCACCAUUGCUAGCCUCUCUAAUACCACGCACUUUUUGCCGGUAUCAUACACCCACCAUACACCUUCCUCAAAACAGCCACCAUACCUACCUACCAUGGCAUUUCCAUAGGCAUUCUGAGAUAUAUUGCCAUGCAACUUACCACCGUUUCGUUUGCCAUGACACGCUUCAUCAUUGUCAUAUUGCUUGCAUGAUCAUGUAGUUGACAUCGUAUUUGUGGAAAAGCCACCGUUCAUAAUUCUUUCAUACAUGUCACCAUGAAUCAUUGCACAUCCCGGUACACCGCCGGAGGCAUUCUCAUAGAGUCAUAUUUUGUUCUAAGUAUCGAGUUGUAAUUCUUGAGUUGUAAGUAAAUAAAAGUGUGAUGAUCAUCAUUAUUAGAGCAUUGUCCCAUGUGAGGAAAGGAUGAUGGAGACUAUGAUUCCCCCACAAGUCGGGAUGAGACUCCGGAUGAAAAAAGGAGAAGGCCCAAAAAAGAGAGAGAAAAAGAGAGAAGGAACAAUGCUACUAUCCUUUUUCCACACUUGUGCUUCAAAGUAGCACCAUGAUCUUCAUGAUAGAGAGUCUCCUAUGAUAUCACUUCCAUAUACUAGUGAGAACUUUUCAUUAUAGAACUUGGCUUGUAUAUUCCAAUGAUGGGCUUCCUCAAAAUACCCUAGGUCUUCAUGAGCAAGCGAGUUGGAUGCACACCCACUUAGUUUCUUUUGUUGAGCUUUCAUAUACUUUUAGCUCUAGUGCAUCAGUUGCAUGGCAAUCCCUUCUCACUCACAUUGAUAUCUAUUGAUGGGCAUCUCCAUAGCCCAUUGAUACGCCUAGUUGAUGUGAGACUAUCUUCCCAUUUUUGUCUUCUCCACAACCACCAUUCUACUCCACAUAUAUUGCUAUGUACAUGGCUCACGCUCAUGUAUUGCAUGAAGAUUUAAAAAGUUUGAGAACAUCAAAAGUAUGAAACAAUUGCUUGGCUUGUCUUCGGGGUUGUGCAUGAUUUAAAUACUUUCUAUGGUGAAGAUAGAGCAUAGCCAACUAUAUGAUUUUGUAGGGAUAACUUUCUUUGGCCAUGUUAUUUUGAGAAUACAUAAUUUCUUAGUUAGUAUGCUUGAAGUAUUAUUAUUUUUAUGUCAAUAUUAAAAUUUUGUCUCGAAUCUUUCAAAUCUGAAUAGUCAUACCACAAAUAAGAGAAUUACAUUGAAAAUUAUGCUAAGUAGCAUUCCACAUCAAAAAUUCUGUUUUUAUCAUUUACCUACUCGAGGACGAGCAGGAAUUAAGCUUAGGAAUGCUUGAUACGUCUCCAACGUAUCUAUAAUUUUUUAUUGUUCCAUGCUAUAUUAUAUUCUGUUUUGGAUGUUUAAUGGGCUUUAUUAUACACUUUUAUAUUAUUUUUGGGACUAACCUAUUAACCGGAGGCCCAACCCAAAUUGCUGUUUUUUUUGCCUAUUUCAGUGUUUCGCAGAAAAGGAAUAUCAAACGAAGUACAAACGGAAUGAAACCUUUGGGAACGUGAUUUUCUCAACAAACGUGAUCCAGGAGACUUGGAGUGGGCGUCAAGAAACAAUCGAGGAGGCCAUGAGGCAGGGGGCGCGCCUACCCCCUAGGCACGCCCUCCACCCUCGUGGGCCCCUCGUUGCUCCACCGACCUACUUCUUCCUCCUAUAUAAGUCCACGUACCCCGCAAACAUCCAGGAGGACCACGAAAACCUAAUUCCACUGCUGCAACCUUCUGUACCCGAGAGAUCCCAUCUUGGGGCCUUUUCCGGAGCUCCGCCGGAGCGGGCAUUGAUUACGGAGGGCCUCUACAUCAACUCCAUAGCCUCUCCAGUGAUGUGUGAGUAGUUUACUUCAGACCUUCGGGUCCAUAGCUAGUAGCUAGAUGGCUUCUUCUCUCUCUUUGGAUCUCAAUACAAAGUUCUCCUCGAUCUUCUUGGAGAUCUAUUCGAUGUAAUCUUCUUUUGCGGUGUGUUUGUCGAGAUCCGAUGAAUUGUGGGUUUAUGAUCAAGUUUAUCUAUGAACAAUAUUUGAAUCUGCUCUGAAUUCUUUUAUGUAUGAUUGGUUGUCUUUGCAAGUCUCUUCAAAUUAUCAGUUUCGUUUGGCCUACUAUAUUGAUCUUUCUUGCAAUGGGAGAAGUGCUUAGCUUUGGGUUCAAUCUUGCGGUGUCCUUUCCGAGUGAUAGCAGGGGAACGUAUUGUAUUGGUGCCAUCGAGGAUAAAAAGAUGGGGUUUAUAUCAUAUUGCAUGAGUUUAUACCUCUACAUCAUGUCAUCUUACUUAAAGCAUUACUCUGUUCUUAUGAACUUAAUACUCUUGAUGCAUGCUGGAUAGUGGUCGAUGUGUGGAGUAAUAGUAGUAGAUGCAGAAACGUUUCGGUCUACUUGUCACGGACGUGAUGCCUAUAUACAUGAUCAUACCUAGAUAUUCUCAUAACUAUGCUCAAUUCUAUCAAUUGCUCGGUAGUAAUUUGUUUACCCACCGUAAUACUUAUGCUCUUGAGAGAAGCCACUUGUGAAACCUAUGGCCCUCGGGUCUAUCUUCCAUCAUAUUAAUCUUCCAACACUUAGCUAUUUCUAUUGCCGUUUAUUUUACUUUGCAUCUUUAUUUCUCUUUAUCAUAAAAAUACCAAAAAUAUUAUCUUAUCAUAUCUAUCAGAGCUCACUCUCGUAAGUGACCGUGAAGGGAUUAACAACCCCUUUAUCGCGUUGGUUGUGAGGUUCUUAUUUGUUUGUGUAGGUGCGUGGGACUCGAGCAUGAUCUCCUACUGGAUUGAUACCUUGGUUCUCAAAAACUGAGGGGAAAUACUUACGCUACUUUACUGCAUCACCCUUUCCUCUUCAAGGGAAAACCAAUGCAGUGCUCAAGAGGUAGCAGAGAGUCGCUCUCCUCCUCCUCCUCAUCCGCGUCGUCUUCGGCGGUGGGGGAAUGGGCCUUGUCUUCGGACACCGCAUCCGAAGUGCCCUUUUGGCGGGGGUCACUCCGGACCCCCUUGGCCUUUCCUGUGGCCUUCUUCUCUGGUGCCUUGUAAGGCACCGGCUCCAGCAUCUUCGCUAAACGCGGAGUGACUGGCUCUUCGGGCAGGGGAGUCGGACACUGAGUCUUCUUUGCCUGCUUCAACUAGUACUGAAAAAGCAAUGGUAAUGAAAGCAUCAGAUAUCACCCUUGAAACAAGCAAGUAAGGGAUGUGUUAAAUAUAACAUACCUCGUUGGGGAGGUGAUUUAUAUCAUGGCCGCAAUCCAAAUCGGUGGCCAGCAGUAUCUUGUUGCCCUUGAAAAGCAACUUCCAGGCAUCUUAAUGUGCCGUUUCGAAGAGCCUCACCAAGGUAUGGUGUUUCUUCGGGUUGAAGUCCCAUAGAGGACGGCUUCGGCUCUGGCAGGAGAGGAUACGGCGCACCAGCAUCACUUGGAUUAUGUCGAUGAGCUUGAUAUCCCUAUCGAUCAUGCUUUGGAUGCGUGUUUGAAGCACAAUCAGCUCGUCCGACAAACACCCGUUUGGGCUCUUCUCGACCCAAGAGGUGAGCCGCACGGGAGCGCCGGAGUUGAAUUCGGUAGCUGCGGCCCAAGUGGUAUCACGGGGUUCGAUGAUGUAGAACCAUUGCUUCUGCAAUUCCUUGAUAGAUUCCACGAAUGUGCCUUUUGGCCAAGAAACAUUGGUGAGCGUGCUCACCAUUGCGCCCCUGCACUCUGCGUGCUGUCCGUCCACCACCUUGGGCUUCACGUUGAAGGUUUUGAGCCAUAACCCGAAGUGGGGGUGGAUGCGGAGGAAAGUCUCGCACACGAUGAUGAACGCCCGGAUAUUGAGGAAGGAGUUCGGGGAUGGAUCGUGAAAUCUAUCCCGUAGUAGAACAUAAUCCCGCGGGCGAAGGGGUGGAGUGGAAACCCUAGCCCGCGGAGGAAGUGGGGGAUGAACACUACCCUCUCGUUGGGCUUCGGUGUGGGGACGAUCUGUCCCCAGGCUGGAAGACAGUGGGCGAUUUCCUCGCUAGGUACCCAGCCGCCCGAAGCUUGGCGACAUUCUCCUCCUUAACGCAGGAGGCCAUCCACAUGCCUUGACCUCCGGAUCCAGACAUGGUUGAGUGCUUUUUCGAGACAAGGGGAAUGAUAACUUGGGCGCUGGAGCUCAAGGACGGAGAGGCAGGAGGAAAGCGUGGGGGAAGAAGGAGGAAUCUUAUCUCCUUAUAAGGGCGGUGAAUAUCGAACGCCCCCCAUUCGCCUUAAAAUUCGCCUGCUCCCAAGGGCUGUGUACACGGCACGGUUGGGUUACCCACACCCGUAUUGAUGGGAAUCCCGUGAAAAGGGGACACAAUCUCUUCUUUGACAAGACAUGCCAAUGACAACCGCGUCUCGAAACGUGGGGUGAAAAAUGGUUCGAAAUUAUGACCGGACAGGCGUGACGUCACAUUACUAAAGUUGUCAGCACAUGGGACUCGUGUGUUAUUAUAUUCUCUCUAUGGUUGUGUGCGAUGUGUUUUACAGGUCCAGACACGUUUGUUUCAUCCGAAGACUAUUUUUGGAGUUCGGAAGGAGGAACCCGCCUUGCAAUGCCGAAGACAGCACUACGCGCCGGAUACCUUGUCAUUGAAGCCUAGUUCAGGGGCUACUGUGGGGUCCUAGACUAAGGGGUUCUCGGACGUCCGACCUGUUGUCUAUGGGCCGGACUGAUGGGCUGUGAAGAUACGAAGACCAAAGACUACACCCGUGUCCAGAUAGGACUCUCCUUGGUGUGGAAGGCAAGCUUGGCUAACAACUAUGAAGAUUCCAUCUUAUGUAACCGACUCUAUGUAACCCUAGAUCCCCCCGGUGUCUAUAUAAACCGGAGGGUGUAGUCCGAAUAGGGGAUACUCAAUACCGUAGUCAUACAGACUAGACUUCUAGGGUUUAGCUAUUACGAUCUUGUGGUAGAUCAACUCUUGUAACACUCAUAUUCAUCAAGAUCAAUCAAGCAGGAAGUAGGGUAUUACCUCCAUAGAGAGGGCCUGAACCUGGGUAAACACGUGUCCCCUGUCUCCUAUUACCAUCAACCUUAGAUGCACAGUUCUGGACCCCCUACCCGAGAUCCGCAGGUUUUGACACCGGCAAUGUUCCCAAGUUUUAAGUCCAUAGAGCCACUCCAAAAGAAAUCCAAAUCCAAAGAAAUCCAAAAGAAAAGAAAAGGGCCAAAAAUUGGGGUGUUACACCUUUAUAGGGCGGAAUCACAUCAGAGAUAUCAACUCUUAUAUUGUGAGUGUAUGGAAAUAGUUGUGGAAAAUGUCCAAUGGUGUGAACAUUUCGCAUCGUUCCGAGUCCUUAACGGUGUGCGCCGACAUUCAGAUCAUUGUCUAGUUAUUUCGUGGACGGAAGGGGAGAGGAGCCAUAGCCGUGGCAGACCUUGUGGAUUUUGAUUCGAGGCAUGAUGGCUAGCAAAAGAGGUGCGCAAUGACAUUGUAACUAAGGCCUAGGAGGAAAGUUGGGAGGUUGAUGGGGGUAGCACAGGCACCUAGGGGUGUGACGGGAUAGUUGAAGAGGUGGGACAUGGAGGUAGUGGUGGUCUCAAAGGUCCAUUGAAGAAGCCUAGGAAUGACUAUUCAUAGUCACUUUCUCAUCUCAUGUAAAAAAGUGUGUAUGCGAGAGCAAUAAAGGUCAAAUACAUAUUUUUUCGAGCAACCUCUAUUGGAUUCUUCAUACCACCCAUGAAGUAGUAUGCCAUCAGCUUUGGGUUCUUUAUUAUUUCCUUUAAGGGAUUUUGUAUCAUUCAAGGAAUAUUAGGUCUAUUUUGGCUUUUACUAUCUAUUUUUCUUAGGGAGAUGGUAAGGAUGUCAGAAGAUAGAGCAGAAUGGCAGGCUCGAAGUUACUGAAUACUUCUAUGUGGAAUGCCCAUUAUAUGAGCAUUCUCUCAAACUUCCACGUUCUUGGGCAUGCGAUUUUGAGAUCGUCGUGUCUACCGUUUCACCAUCAAGGCAUCUUGAAAAGGUGUUAGAGAAAAGGUGCAUGGGGAGUAAAGGCUAAGGUGUGAAGAGAACAAAUUAGAAGACAUGAAGUGCACCAAGUCGUGGCGGUGAGCGCAUGUUUGGUGGUUCCAUGAUGGUGAUAGUAAUACCCAUUAUUUUUAUAUGGUGGGUUCAACAAGAAAGGAAAACAGGGUGAAGAAGUUAGUAAAGGAGAAUGGAUGGGAGGUAGUAGAGUAAGAUGAUUUAAGUAACCAUGUCUGCUCACUUUUCAGGAAAUUUUCGCUUCCACCAUGGGUGAUCACGUGGAGGAACUCAUAAAUUGCAUCGAGGCGUGCAUCACUAGAAAUAUGAAUGACAUACUCACUUCAUAAUUACAAGGGAAAGUCAAGGCUUCCGUUCUGGAUGGCAUGCCAACUAUUGUGUACAAAAUGCACCUCAUGGGAUAUAAAUUGUCGAUGAAGUUAUCAAUGUGCUAAAUGGAGGGUAGCUUCCAAACGGUUGGAAUAGUACGAUGGUGGUUUUCAUUCCUAGUGUGAAAGAUUCAUCCUGCAUCAAGGACCUAUGACCGAUUAUCCUCUGGAAUGUUCUUUACUAACUUGUAAACAAGGUCCUAGCAAAUACUCUGAAAGUUGUUCCAGAUAUUAUAUUUAACAACUAAUGUGCCUUUGUGUUAGGCAGAUUGAUCUCGAACAAUGUCCUGAUAACCUAUGAAAUACCACACUACUCAACGAACAUGAAGGGAGGGAAAGAAGGAAUUGUUGGAGUGAAAGCUUAUAUGAGCAAGGUGUAUCAUCAUGUUGAGUGGAAUUGUUUGGAAGCCAUGAUGUGGAAGAUGGGGUUUAGGAGAGAAUAGGUGACCAACAUUAUUAAGCGUGUGUUGUCAGUUCGAUAUUCAGUCAGGAUCAACAACAAUGUUACACAACAGUUCAUACCCCCUAGAGGUUUGCACCAGGGAGACUGCCUACCUCCAUACUUGUUUGUAUUUGAACAAAGGGACCUUCAUCUCUUAUACAUGAUGUUGAACCAAGAGGGAAGAUUCAUGACCUGAAAGUCUACCCAAGGGCACCCCAUAGUCUCUCAUAUAUUCUUCUGAGAUGACUUGGUUUUGUUACUGAGAGCAAAAGGAGAGGAAGCAAUGGCGUUGAAGGAAAUUAUUUCCCUAUAUAAAGUUUUUCUGUAAAUGAAUCGACCUGGGGAAAUCUGCAUUGUUCUUUAGCACGAAUACAACAGAACUAAUGAAAAACUUGGGUGAAGUGUGAGUUAUCCAUCAGAGUGAGAUGUGGAAUGAUAAGUUUCUAUGAUUACGGUGUACAUUGGCAUAUAAAAAAGAAGGCGUUCACAUAUAUUAAACACAAAAUUUGGGCAUCCAUACAUGGUUAGAUGGAGAAAUUUCUAUCAAAGGCAGGGAAGGAGGUCUUAGUGAAGGCGGUUGCUGAGGCGAUUCCCACCUAUGCCAUGUAUUUUUUUGACAAAGGGUUUUUGCGAUGAGAUUGGUGCUAUGAUUGGUACAUUCUGGUGGAGUCAAAUGGAGAAAGAAAUUAAGCACCAUACAUUGGACAGAUCGGCAGAAGUUAACAAAGCCCAAGUCAAUGGGAUGACUAGGAUUUAGAGACAUACACAACUUCAAUACACAAAUUCUCUCUCGGCAAGUAUGGCGUCUGAUUCAGAGCCUUGAAAGCAUUUGUGUAAUGGUGCUCAGGGUAAAAAAAUUGUGGGGAAAAAAUAUACUAGAAGUUCAACCUUGUGACGAUAUAUCAUACUCAUGGAGGAGCAUUCUCCACGAUCUUGAUCCGAUAAAAGAAGGUUAUAUCUGGUGUAUAUGGAUGGAGAAACGGUGAAGAUCAUGUUGGAUACCUGGAUCCCGAGAGCUUUGUCCGGAAUAUUGGUUACACAGAGGGAAGGUAGUCUAUUCACUCGAGUUUGUGAUCUUAUGUGACCCAUCACCGACAAAUGGGAUGAUCAUCUUGUGAACGAUACGUUUUGGUUGGACGAUGGGAGACUCAUACUCCAUAUUCUGAUCAAGAAAGGCAUUGAUGACUUAGUUGGCCUGAUAGUAUGAUAGCAAAGGAGGUCCAGGAUUGGGACUAUGAUAGCAAAGGCGGUAAGGAGUGCGGACAAGCUCCAAGUUGAGAUCGAGCAGUAGAGGAAAGGAGGUUGCACUAACACAAGCCAUACCAUGAAAAGCAACUACUACAGAUAUUCCCACCUAAUCUUAAUGUCUGGUGAACAUAGUUCUUGGGCCCCGAAGAACAAGGAUUUGCAAUGAGCAACAAGUAUUAUCCUUGGUUAGAGCAUCUCUAGCAGAUGAUGCAAAAUAGGACAAGUGACCAAAUCACCUUUUUAGAACAUUUAGACCCAAAAAUGGUGCUCUAGUAGAUGCCCCAUCUCUAUCUGGUGCUGCAAAAAGUUGGGGCAUCCUCAUAUUUGCCCCCAAGUGCUGCAAAUACCCAACAACCGGGCCAUUGCCGCAAAAUAAAAUUUCCUGCCAGCCCAACCGCCACCAGGCAUGACUGUCGCACCACCUCUCUCCCGCCCGCGACCGCUGGCACCACCGGGCUGCCAUGGAAGGCACCUCCGAUGCGACCGUCGACUCAGCCAUCCUCAUCACCGCUCACAUGACGCCCGCAACUCCACCUCUGGUAGUUCUCGCAAGGCUGCAACCACCACCAAGACGAAGACGCAUGAUGCACGGUGCCAAGUUUGUGCUGCCUCACGAGUCAUCGCUGCUGCCAGAGGGGAUGUGCCGGGCUACACCAUCGCUCCCAAGACCAAGCCCCCCACCCCGAAAGCCGUGAUGCAGCAUUGUCGGGAAGAGUUUGCCGCGGGAUCCUGCAUUGGCUGACUCAUGCUUGAGAAAGUCGAGGGUCGCGGCGACGGAUGAUUUGGCUGCUCCGGUGGUGCCCUCACCCUCCCGUACUUCUUUCUCACCAUCUUCUAUGGAGGAGGAGCCAGAUUCACCCGUCGUCAUGACCACCAGGGUACAUAACAUGCUCAAGGGAAAGUCACGAAGGUACACAAUUAUGUUUUCUCUUGUUUUUCCUAUCUUUGUCACAAAUUCUACCUUGUGAAUGCAACUGUGAUAUGAUUUGUGUCUAUGUUAUUCAAUUUUGUAGUAUUUAGUGUCGAUGAUGAAAUUUUUUGUAAUACACGAAAGUUGCAUCUUAAGAUUUUGUCUCUCAAGAAAUCCACUAUCAAUAAUAUGAAUAUGAUAUGUCCAAUCUAGACAUGGACGAGGAGAGUUUUUGAUUCAAUACCAAAGGGAAGAGCUACAAUAGAUGAAGACAAGUUGCCAUUAUUUUUUAGCAGACAUGUUUUUAAUUUGUGAACAAACUUUGAAAACGAGAACAUUUUAUGCAACUCCAAAAUUUAUCUGAAAACACAAACAUUUUUUAGAAAAUCUGAAACAUUUUUACGGAAACAUUAACAUUUUCUGGAAUUCCAAAAAAAAAAUUCCUGAACAUUUUUUAAAAAGGGGACAUUUGCAAAUAGAAAAGGAAAAUAAAAAGUAAAGUAAAGAAAACCGGUUGAACAAACACCGGGAAAAAAAUGAAAAACUAAAUAGACAUGAACCAUUCAGGAACCUUUUAGAAGGUUCCCAAACCCGAAACCAACAUCCAAUGCUCCUAGCGUUAAAAUGGGUCGGUCCAGCCCAGUCGCGGCGUGCGGACUAAUUGACGCAGUAUGCAUCAUAUAGAAUGUCUGACUGGAGACCUCCUAUUUGAGGUCAAAUAGCCGAGGCCACGCCUGAAGCGAGGCGCAACGCCUGAAGUGAGGCACAUGUUGGCCAUCCCACUUAGGCGAUCUCACUUGAAUGGUUUAUUUUCUUAUUUUUCAUCUUGGGCUUUGUAGUCAAUUUUGCUUCCAGAUAAAUAACUUUUGGAUCUUUUAAGUAUCUAAAUAAUUAAUAACCUAUUAGAAAUGCAUUAUUACAAUAUAGUCUUAAAAAUUUUAAUAUUUAUUACAAAAUGUUGAUCAUGUAAUAAAAAGUUUAUGAUACACAAAGAAAAAGUUCACCGCAUAUAAAAAAUGUUUACCAUUCAGCAAAAAAAUGUCAUGUGCUAGAAAAUGUUUAUUGUAUAUCAGAAAACAUGUUUAAAGUAGGAAACAUGACGAAACAGAUGAGAAACCAAACCUAGAAGGAAAAAAAUAAAAAAAC